GGCACUGCGAAGGGUGCGCCACCGAUGUCUCAUAAAGAUCAUCACCUGUUGCUUAAGCAUUGAUCACCAAGGCCAAGAAUUCAAGGCACUGGUUUUUGAGUUCAUGCCCAAUGGUAACCUAAAUGAUUGGCUGCAUCCAGCAUCCAAAAUACAGAGUCUGAGCAAUACACUCAGCUUAGCUCAGAGACUAGACAUUGCGGUAGAUAUCAUGGAUGCUCUGGAUUAUCUUCACAAUCAGUGUCAACCGCCUAUUAUCCAUUGUGAUCUCAAACCAAGUAACAUCCUCCUUGCCGAAGAUAUGAGUGCUCGGGUUGGAGAUUUCGGCAUAUCAAAAAUCCUUCCUGACGACACUAGCAAAACUCUGCUGAAUUCAGUUAGCUUCACUGGACUAAGAGGUUCCAUCGGAUAUGUCGCUCCAGGUAACAGAAACUAACACUGAUAUUGCUAUGUUCAGUUUUUAACUUCCAUUUUGCCAAGUCCAGUUAUCUCGGCAUGCACGUUGAUAAGUAGCUUGCCAUGAAUCCACUGACCAAAUAGUGUCUGAAAUCUGAAUUGACUGCAGAGUACGGCGAGGGUCGCGCUGUCUCAACUCUUGGAGAUGUUUACAGCCUCGGCAUACUGUUGCUUGAGAUGUUCACCGGGAUGAGCCCUACUGACGACAUGUUCAAAGGCUCCUUGGACCUUCAUAAGUUCGCCGAGGCCGCUCUCCCCGACAGAGCCUUGGAGGUAGCCGACCCGGCAAUCUGGUUUCAUGAAGAAGCAAAGGGCGAAGACCCUGCCACGGUGAGAAGCAGAAGCGAGAGGUGCUUGGCUUCAGUGGUCGGGCUUGGCGUGUCCUGCUCAAAGCAGCUGCCAAGGGAGCGGACGGCGAUGCGGGAUGCUGCCGCUGAGAUGCGUGCGAUCAGAGAUGCCUUCCUGGUUCAAUGUGCAACAGAGACUUGGCCUGCAGUCGGCACCACCGGCCUUGGGAGCGCAGACAGUUGAAUGGUGGACGGAGCUACGGUCUCUUGAUGAACCAAGGAGCACCGGACUAGCAACUCUGCAACUAACAGAGUGGAGAAAGCGCCCCUUAAUGAAAAGAAAAACAGCCGGUGCAAGGCUUUAUAAAAAGAAUGUGACAGCCACUGCGUGUAUCCGAGAGACUUAUCUAAUCUACCGAGGAUUGUUGGGUAGGGAUGCGUAUAGAUUAUGCACGUGCUCCCUCCGUCCCAAAAUAAAUGCACAUCUCGCUUUUCGAGGAGUCAAACUUCUAAGUUUGACUAAAAUUUAUAAAAAAAUGUACUACUAUUUAUAAUGUAUAAUAAAUAUCAUUAGAUUGGGCGUUGGAUAUACUUUCCUAAUAUAUUUAUUUGAAGAUGCAAAUGAUGAUACUAUUUUCUUUAUUCUUAGUCAAACUUAAAAAUGUUUGACUCUUCGAGAAGUGAGAUGUGUGUUUAUUUUGGGAUGGAGGGAGUACCCGUCACGGGGAUUAGUCACGAUAUAAGUAGGGACUAGCAAGCACCAAAAUCCCAUUCACUGCCCUUCGAUCGCUCAAAUAAAACAAACCAUUGCAUAUGGUGGCGAUGCGCUUGCGGGCCUUUUUCCAACCUUUCUGCUGUCGUGGGUCUUGAACUCGCAUGGAACAGUUUUAGUGAAAGCGUGCCCUUCAAUUUUGGGAAGAUUGCGAAGCCUCAUUUACCUGUCCUUAGUGACAAUAAGUUAGGAUCCAAUGAUAAGGACGGAUUGGAAUUCAUCACCAUGCUGGCAAACUGCAGCCAGCUUCAGCAACUGGCUUUUGACAAUAAUUCAUUCAUCGGGGAACUUCCUAGCUCAAUUGCAAAUCUAUCGACAACACACCAAUUACUCUGUAUAGGAAACAAUUGGAUUUCGGGAUUUAUUCCAUCCAGCAUAGGUAAUUUGCUUGGUCUAGAACUGCUUGCGUUGGCAAAUACUUUCAUAUCCGGAGUGAUUCCAGAUAGCAUUGGUCGCCUAGAAGACAUGUCCGUGUUAGGCAUUUACUACGCUAGCUUGUCAGGCAUCAUACCUUCGUCACAAGGAAACCUUACACAGUUGAAAACUCUCUAUGCGUACGAUAGCAACUUCGAGGGUCCAAUUCCAGCAAGUGGGGGAACUUAAAGAAUGUUGUUGUUCUUGAUCUCUCAACGAAAGUGUGUAACCCGCUAAGAUUUCGUGUCGAAGCAAAGCAUAAACCUCUCUUAAGACUGCAAAGCUAUCAUAGAGCAGAUCAGUCUAAGACAAUGUAGAACUUAGUCAAAUUUUAUUUAUAAACAUUCAAGUACAAUUUAUGCAAAGUAAAUUUGAAAAUAAAGUAUACGUAAACAUCUAAGCGCAUAGCUUUAUGAUUUGAGUUGAACUAACCAAAUAUAAUUGAAAAACACAUUUAUAUUUAUAUUAAGUCAAAUUAACAUAUAAUUAUGAAAGCUCGAGAUAUAACUUAUGGAGCCUUUAUUUAGAAAACAAAUUGAAUAAACAUUAAUCAAUUUAAGUUUAAUUAUGAACCACCAUGUUGCAUCUCUCAUUGACUUUUAAUUGAAAGAGUUAUUUAAAUAAGCAUUAACUAAUUUAGCAUUUAUUAUGAAAAGCAGUUAUAACACUAAGUAGCUUUUAAUUAAAGAAGACAUGUUUAACAUGCAUUAAUCAGAUUAAUAUUAAAUUUAUUUUAAAAACAUGCAUGAUGGAAAGAUCAGUACUAACAUGUAAUUUGUGUUAUUACAAACCUAACUCAAUAAGAACAGAUAUAAACGGAGCUGUAACGACCAGUCUAUGGGUUAAACAAGGUUGCAGGGCCUAAUCAUGAUUAACGGAAGGUUAUUGGGGCUAGCAAGGAAGAUUUGCAAGACACUGGAAUAGAGCUCCCCAUUAGGUCAAAGCAUAGGGCGAUUGCGAAAUCAAGAACUCGAAGGUGAUCGCGAGAACACGAAGGACACGAAGGUUUUAGAUAGGUUCGGGCCUCCGGAGAGUAAUACCCUACGUCCUGUAUGCUAGUUUGUAUUGCUUGAGAUUGAUCUGAUUGUUGGGAUACCCUCGGGGGUGCCCUUGGCCGCCUUAUAUAGGCUGACGACCAAGAGUUAAAAGUCAGUUUGAAUCUAAUCUACUCGGUAGUUACAUGGAAAGUAAUCUGAGUUGGACUACAGUACACGUUCCAUGAUAUCCAGGCAGAUUUGAACUGUCUUGUUGCCUUGACUUGCACUCCAAGUAACUUCAUGUCCUCGGCCCGCACGCCCUAGUCGGGCGGGCCCUACUUGUCAGUCCGGCCAGUAUCCUGGUCGGUCGGGGCCCAUGGGGUACCCAUAUCCCUCAAGCCCCCGAGCAUUGUGUAGGUGAAGAGUAACUUGAGGUCACCACAGUGAAACUUGAAAUGAAGUCGGCUGAAGCUACGAAGACAUCAUGGCGACGGAGAGGCUGCACAGUGCUCAAAAGAAGAAAUUCUGAGCAAACGCAGAGCCAACGCGUAGAGCGAAGACGAGUGCCGAGUUGAUGGAUGCUGGCAUUCAGCAGUCGGAGCAAAGGUUAUGGAGGGCCUCGCAAAACGCACUCUGUAGGAGUAGCCCCCGAGCAUUAAAGUGAUUAAGAUAAUCGGUACAAUAGUCAAAGAAGAAAAAGUUAUCCCCUAAAGUAGAUCCUAGUGCUCGAACAUAAGGAUGGGUGAAGCCAUGGAGGCCCGCCAACCAGAAGUAGGCACCCAGACCCAAGAAUGAGGACUAGCGGGACCGUGUAGCCACGUUGACCUGAAAUAGGCGCCCAACCCCUGAGGACGAGGACUAGCGGAGCCACGGAGGCAUGCCGACCUGAAGUAGGCACGCAACCCCUGAGGACGAGAACUGGAGGAGCCAUGAAGACACGCCGACUUGAAAUAGACGCCAAGCCCCUGAGGAUGAGGACCAGUGGCGCCACGGAGGCACGCCAGCCAGAAUUAGGCAUCCAACCCCCGAGGAUGAGCAUGAGGACUGGUGGAAGCACGUCGAGGUGCCUCCCGCCUCGAGCCGAGGCAGAGAGGUCAGUCGGGCGACGGGAGGCACAUGAGUCAUCUAUGGCGCGCAACCGCCGAGCCUGGGAGCCGGACGAGUUGCAGAAGCAUGCCAAGUCGCCUCCCGCGGCGAGCUAGAGAGGUUUGCUGGGCGACGGGAGGCACGCCAAGUCAUCUGCAGUGCCCAGCCCUCAAGCCUUAGGGCCGGCUGAGCCAUAGAAGCAUGCCAAGCCGCCUCCCGCCCCGAGCCAGAGAGGUCGGCCGGGUGACGAGAGGCACGUCGAGUCAUCUGCGGCGCCCAGCCCCCGAGCCUAGGAGCCAGACAAGUCAUAGAAGCAUGCCAAGUUGCCUCCCAUCCCGAGCUAGAGAGGUCGGCCGCGUGACGGGAGGCACGCCGAGUAGUUUUUGAGCUAUAAAAGGACAAUACAAUCAUCAUGUAGCAUAGUGUAGAUCGUUUAAUCAUUGAACAACUCGGAAGUUUAAUUCACUAUAUAAGUAAACUCUUGCGCAUCCUGCUCUUGUAGGCUAAGUAAUUUCCCCAGGUAGUUAGCCUGUUACGUUUAAGCACCUAGCCCUACUGACCACUGCUCACAGAGAUGACGGUUUAUCUCAAGCUAUAGCGCUGGGGCUGACCUGAUGCUUGCAUAUAGGAGACGCGCAGGAUGAGUUAAGGUUUUACGGAUUAAGGCAUGUGCUACCCGAGUACUUUAGCAACUGUUAACAGGGACAGACAAGUUGCAAAGCAGCCGGAACUGUGCGGAAAAGCACCAGCAUGAGCUAGGCACCCAUGGGGUGUAACCCCUGGCCGCCCGUGUAGUGGACGGACCAAGUUGUAUAAACAGUUAGGGUGCGACCAAGGUGGUGGGCAAAAGUCACGGAGACAUAGGAGAGCUGAGGCGGUCGACGAAAGUCACAGGAACAUGGAGGAGCCGAGGCUUAUGUAGGUAUACGGAAGCCAUAAAAUAUUUAAUUGUAAAUAAGACUUAGCUUGAUUCGUGAUCGAGUCGAAGAACCCGCAUGUCGUCUUUGCGUUUAGGCUUAGAAGCCCCUGAGCGUGGUCAGCGGAUAGUUGUUGGUGAAGCAAACUAGUAGGGCUCCAUGCCCGACUAAUUCGUGUCAAGUCCGAGUUGUUGGAGUUGUUAGUGGCAAGUCUGUGGCUGCGAUCGUGGUAUGCUGCUGCCAAGUCGAUGCGGCCAUCGGGUCGUGGCUGGCUGGCCGCCACGCUCGCAAUACAGCAUGCCUGGGUUGUGCUGCCAAACCAAAGGUGCAUGUACAUCUUUCCGAACCUCGUAAGGAAGCCCUCAGGUAUUAAGGAAAUCUAUACCUAAUAUUAAAGUGCGGUUGUUUGUUCCAACCAUUAUGGUUGUUUUGCAAAAAAGUCCCUCAACUUUUUCGUAAUCAGCUCGCAGUCCUUGGAAUAUGUCUUGAUGAUUUUGCAAAAAGGUCCCCAAACUUUACUGCAAUUGGCCGUCGAAGCUCCCGCAGCAUGCACCUACGCCACGUGCGGUGCGGACGAGUGUGCUGGCGGUGGCUGCAAGCUCCUCACCACAGCGGGGACCAGGUCGAGCAGCGACAGCGAUGACGGAGGGGAGUAGUCCGCAUCCGCGUGCCGUGCUUCCAUCGUCGGGCAAGCUGUGGCGGCGGUGGAGAGGGAAAGUGAGUACAUCGGCGUGUGGCAGCAGUCGUGGGGCAGUUUGGCGGCGGAGAUCCAUGACCCGCACCUCGCUGUGCGCAAGUGGCUCAGCACCUUGGACACCAUUGAGGACGCCACACACGUCUAUGAUGUCGCCGCCAUCGAGUUCCGAGGCCACCACGCCAAGCUCAACUUCCCCGACGACAUGGUCCCCGUGCCCGCACCUUCUAGGGUGCCCACCUCUACAUACCACUACCACCACCACCUGCCGCAGCCGCUGCCCAAGAGUCUGCACAAGACCUGCGGGUCGAACGCAUCGUCGUCGGUGCACAUGGCUCCUGGAUGACGGCAGCUUCUUGUCACCCAUGCCAUGAUCGUCACAUUCUCCUCUUGUUUUCACUUUCGUUGCUUAGCGGAUAAUGGUGGUCAGCUGCCCUUUGGUCUGUCGUCAAUCACCAGCCAUCCAUCGCUUUCAUAUGGUUUUACACUAGCUUUUGGGCUUUGACCACACCUCCACACCCAUAAAGUGGAGUGAUGUUGAUCUACUGCCGCUCGCCCUGGCGUGCAACUACUGUCGCUCACCCUAGCACAUGGCUACUCACUCGGGCUGCGUGCCCUACCCGCCACCUGGACCUAAGAGGUGAAGGAGAGAGGAGGAAGGGGGAAGGAAAUAAGGAGCCGAGUGCCUCUUUGCAGUCAACCAAGUAGAUCCAUGUGCCAGCGAAGGCAUGGCGCCAGCAAGGGGGGGGGGGCGCAGCAGCAGUCGGCAGGCAACGCAAAUUGGGGCAGAGGUUGGGACCUCACACCCCCCCUCUCAAUGACGUCCAUCCCCUUAAGAUCCGGAACUAAAGCCUCCACAUCUAGCAAUUGGGGGCUCAAUUUUGCACUUGAUUGAAAUGAUUUGGAGUGGAUUAUGGAAGGGAAGUGGAUGGAAAUGAGAAGAGGAGGAGAACGCACUCCUGCUCAUGGCGGCCAGAGGCGUUGUGGCCUAGCGCUCGAAGCAGGAAUGAGGCUAGGCACAGGAAGGACGAGCGCUUGCCUGGGCGAUGGUGAGGAUGGCAAGAUGCGCAGCGCCUGGAUGACGGCGAAGAUGGGGCUAGAUGCGGGUGGCGCUGAUGGAUGAAGAGGCAUCGACUGGCUAGAUGACGAUGAGUACGGGGGAAAUCGAAUGAAUGGAUGGAGCGGAGGUUGAGCGGUGAUUUUUUUUAUUUCCAUAUGUGGGUCCCACAUAAUAAACAUAUGGCAUCAAAUCACCCAUAAAUAUCUUCUACUACUAUACUGAGACAACGCACCAACAUAUGGUGAACCGAAGCCACCGUAUUACGAACAAGCGAAUAAUAACGUGAGAAUAAGUAAGGACCUGUAGCAACGCACGGACAUUUCUGCUAGUGAGAAAAAAAAUUGUUAUCUACCGCAGUAAGCACCGAGCAACAUAGGAGAUCUACUGGAUGGAAUAGAUUAAAUAAUAAAGGGAAGGGAGAAUUGUUUCCUUUUUUUUCCGUGGCAGAUCCGACAUGUCUGCAUGCAACAAGUUGAGGCCGACGUGUCGUGCUAAAUCAAUUGGAUCGGACUGGGGCUGGAUCAGGCGAGCUUGGCUGUGGCCGGGAUGAGGCCAAUAAGGGCGCCGCCCUUGACCUUGGCCUCCUGCGUCUCGUGGAUCUUCUGCAUCUAGAGCAUCCGCUCCAUGACAAGCUUGUACUGGCACUUCUCUUAGGCGUGGUGCUCAGGCUGGCACUUCCAGGGGAGGUAGAACUCGGAGGUGCACGCACUGGUUGUGGUAGGCGAGCGGCACCUGGGCCACCGCCAUCUCCACCUGCGUGAUGAUCUAGGGCUUCAAGGAGCCGAACUGCACACCGACCGUUGCUGCCGCCUCCAUCUGUCACUUUCUUCCCGUCUCUCUCACCGGCGAGGUCGUUCCAUCGAUAGAUGGGCAUUGCGGGUUUGGUGCGGUGUGGGUAGGUGGGGUGCAGCGAGGACAUGAGGAACCCUCUCGGAGAGAGAGAUUGCCAAUCUACUGGGCAAGUGGCAUGAUGAUCCUUGGAUAGAGAACUUGCUCCUCCGGAGUAAAUCCGACAGAUGCCGAGCUGGCGGCAGGCAUCGAGUCGAAGUCCACCGACAUGCUCCCGAAGCAGAGCUGGAUUGGGUUGGCGAGGAAGUCCUUCAUGCUCUCGGAAAAAACAAUGUCGGGACGGGAUGCCAUCGAGCUCGCUAGGGAGGAUCUCACAAUCAUCCCUACCUGGCAUGCCAACUGUUGGAUUUAUAAGCCUGAUAGUCCACCAGGGGGUUACCCAAGUAGUUGAUUUCUAGGUGAGGGCGAUUGUGAAACCAAGAACUCGAAGGUGAUUGCGAGAACACGAAGGGACACGAAGAUUUUAGAUAGGUUCGGGCCUCCGAAGAGUAAUACCCUACGUCCUGUAUGCUGGUUUGUAUUGCUUGAGAUUGAUAUGAUUGUUGGGAUACUCUUGGGGGUGCCCUUGGCCGCUUUAUAUAGGCUGAUGACCAAGAGUUACAAGUCGGUUUGAAUCUAAUCUACUCGGUAAUUAGAUGGAAAGUAAUCUGAGUCGGACUACAAUACGCGUUCCAUGAUAUCCAGGUAGAUUUGAACUGUCUUGUUGCUUUGACGUGCACUCCAAGUAACUUCAUGUCCUUAGCCCGCACGCCUUAGUCGGGUGGGCCCUAGUUGUUAGGUCUGACCAGUAUCCUGAGGUACCCAUAUCUCUCACCUUGGUGCUCCGGCGAUUAGGGUCAACGGCGAGGAUGGGGAUUGGAAGAGGAGAUCAAGGGGACUUUAUGGAGAUGCUCACCGGUGGUGAGGUGGACGGAUUCCAGCCAGAAUUUGGCUGGCGGUGGAAGAACACGACAGGUUGCUCAGGUCUUCGCGAGUGAUGGUACUCCAGCAGUGGAGCGGCGACGAAGACUAGUGGCAGAGCAGCUCCUCGACAUCAUGGAGCUCCCUAAGGCUCUAGCUUGCUCCAAUGGUCGACGGGCAUAGCGAAUUGGCCAGAGAAGGCUGGUAGCGGCUCCUAGCUUCGGUGGAUGUGGGGGAUGGCGGCGCUUGUGGAGGAUGGCGGUGCUUGUGCAAGCUGGGAAGAGUGGCGGCGCGAGGCAGGGUAGCAGCAGGGGCACUGUCUCGACUUUUAUAGGCGCGUGGGUCCGCGCCUACCUUGGCACGCAUGCUGAGGUUCGGCGGUGGCGACGACCAACUGCAGCUACGCUUGGCCUCAACCCGUUGGUGGCCGAUGGGCCUAGCGGACCUAGCCGAGCCAUCAGCUGGGCUGGGUCGGUGAGGGUCGAGCCGCAAAGACUUGGCCCGAUUGAUUAGGAUUUUCCUUUUUUUUAGAAAUGAUUUCUUGUAAAAGAAAAAUCCAGAAAAAUUCUAUAUAAUUAAUUUAAGCAACGAAAAAACCCUAAAAAUCCAAAAAUUCCAGGAAAAAUCCUAGAGAUAGUUUGGGAAUGAGGAGUACAAAUAAAAUACUUGGAGCUCAUGAAAAGGAUUCUAGAACCUUCCAAAAAUUGGAUUUAGCUCUAGAAAAAAGAGAAUAAAUCUUAGAAAAAUCUUGAAAUUCUCAUAAGAACCUAAUGGGCAUCUAAACGCAUUCCAAAACCUUUGCACUUAUGAAAUACCAAGAUGCAUCGGCAUGAAUGCAACACAUACAUAGAACUAUUAUAUUUAAUUCAGAAAAACACUCAAUUAUUUUCCUAUACUAAAUUUCCUGUCAGGAAAAUAAAUGUUGGAAAAAUUUUAAAAUUAUGAGAAAAUCAUUGUUUAAUUAUUAUUUUUAAUCACAUCCUGAAAUUUCAAAAAUUUUAAGGUGUGACAGAUACCCUCAGGUUUACAGAAUUUGACAUCCAUGUGCAAAUUGGAUCUAUCCUUCAAUGAUUCUUUGGAUUUGCACAGUUUUCAGAUAUUUACUGGAAGGAGCCCAACGGAUGAGAUAUUCAAUGAUUCUUUGGAUUUGCACAGUUUUCAGAGAAUGCUCUUCCAGAGAGAAUAUGGGAUAUAGUUGAUCCGACAAUAUGGAUGCACACAGAUGCCUAUAACAGCACUAUGAGAAGUGGAAUUAAGAAUUGCUUGCUUUCUGUUGUUUCUCUUGGAAUAUCAUGCUCAAAGAAACAACCUAGGGAGCAGAUCCCGAUUCAGGAUGCAGCCAUUGAGAUGCACGCUAUUAGAGAUUCGUAUCUCAAGUUUGCCAGAUCUCUUUUGGUGGAGCAUGGAGUAGUAGCAACAACUCACAGUGAUUUCCCACAACAGUGAAUACAUAGGACUGAAAAUGGGCAAGAUGUCCGCAGGUGAUCAGUUUACCUGAAAUAACUGAAGAUGUAUGAAGCUUCAGCUUUAUAAUUCGUCCAUGCAUUUGUUUGCAUCAGAUAUAUGGAAGUAUAAAAUAAGUUUAGAAAAUGUUUCAAAAUAGAUUAGAUCAAGAGGUUUUUACUUGUCGUCUGUAUGGCACAUUUGUUUAGAGAAUUCAGUAAUAUGUAUGAUUCAUAAUACAAUCAAUGCUCUGCAAAUUUCAGAUAGCACAAUUGGAAUAAAAAGCUCAUUCAUUGAUUAUGUUGCUCUAGGUGACUCAACUUAUUGUGAUGUUCACUGUAGAUUUCUCCAUGGUCCAAACGACCUUUGUGAUCAGUUAUGUUUAUGCAUUUUGUAGACUUGUAAAGUCUUUCCCUAACCUGCUGACAUAUCAGCUGGAGCAGAGCACUCUGCCGUUCUGCGCCACUUGCCUCUAGGCAGCGCUUGCCGCUUGGUGGCUGCCGUGGCGACGGGCGGCAUCCGUAAUUGCUCUAUUGGAGGCUGAGGGGCACAAUUACGUCUUGGAGUCGCCACCGCGCGACCUUCGGAGCUCGCCCAUGCCUCAUCGGUACGAGCUCAGUCCCGCGGUGAAUGGCGCGCGCAUCUGGGGUUCCGUCAGCUGCAGGUGCAGAUGGGUGGAGAGCUUAACAGCACUAGGUCUUCAGAAGAUGUUGGGUGGGCUGGAUGGGGCUUUGCGGCUCUGAAUGGCGAGGCGGGCAGGGACGACGGCGGCAGCGGCAGGCGGCGGCACUGGACGCGUUGGGGUGGAGACGACCCGGACCAGGGAGCAUUUUUGAAAAUAGUCGGAUCGCGAUCCUAAUUAGGAAAUGUGAGAAGGGGUGCACCAAAUAUGGGAUGAGAUGGAGAGGAGCGGAUCAGGCCCAGAUCAGCGAUCAUUUACUAUUAGGGCCCGUUUGUUUGGCAGGAAUUGGGCUGAAUUGGAAUUACUUUCCUAGGCCGACCUGUUUGGCUGCACAUGGAAUUGGAAAUCGUCUUUCCGGUGAUUUUCACGGGCUGAUUUUCUUACUUGCGACACAUUCCGGGCCUAAGACAAAGAAAUCAAUUCCAUCCGACUUGCUUCCCCUCCCGACUCGCCUCCCUUCCCCGACACCGCGCCACCUCCCUCUCCCAACUCCCCUCCAUCCCGACGCCGCACCCCCUCCUCCACCGCCUCCUCCGGCGCCCCCUCCUCACCUCCCCCUGACUCGCCUCACCCCGUGCUGCCGCCGCCCUCGACUCUGACUCCCCGAGCGCUGCGCCGCCGCCUCUCGCGCCGCCGCCCCUCGCGACCACCUUCUCGACGGCGAGAUAAACCUCCUCCAGUUUCCCUCCUCCAUCUCGUUCUCCGGCUCACCCCUUCCUUUUUCUUCCUCACCGGCUCACCCCUUCCCCUUGAACAAUCCGCAGAUCUGCGGGGGAGGUGCCACCGGCAAGCAGGCUGGGAGCAGCUGCAACGGCGGCCGCCCCAUCCACGUCUCUACGGACGGCAUCUUCAACAUUCCGACCACGCGCGUGCUCUCCACUAGCAAAGAAGCUGUACGUCCCAAUCCCUUCUGCCCAUCCCCUUUGCUACUCGAGCCAGCAAAGAAACUACUAGUUAGUUGCAUCAGAUUCUCACUGUCAAAUUGGAAGGCCAUUGCUCUUGCUCCUACUAGUAUACCGCACUUUCCACAAAAUGCGACACACGAAUUUGUUAAUUUUGCCGUAAUUCUGCUAUCAAAUCAAAAGGCCAAUCCUCUUGCUCUAAACAGUUUCUGCAAUUUCGUGCACUAUCGAUUGCUAGUGCUAAUUACAUGGAGGGCCUUUGGUACUUCUCUGCUAAUGCUAAUUAUAUGUGACAUGCUCUGAGAUUCUUCAUACUGUGUGCUGCCAUUAGUUUAAAUUUGGUAGAAGCUGAAAUCUCUUCGUAGAUCAUUAUGUGCUGCCAUUCUGAUAUCCUGUGGAGUUGCAUAUCAACUACUAGUGCUAGCAUUUAGUUUUAUCUGUCACAGCAGUUAAGCAUCAGUCAGCCCUUAUCUAGCAUUUAGUUGGUGCAGCUGUGCAAGUGAUGUUCCUAUUGUUUUUAAUUUUUGUCUUCUGCAGCAUUUUGCAGGCUGUCUAUGUUUCUGCUUAGUUUCGUGAAAUAGUGUAGCAUUUUGAUGAUAAAUUAAAACAUUCCUUUUUGCAUAUGUUUAGAUGCCUGACAGCAACAUAGACUUGGUUAAUACAGGCAUAGAGCAAAUGAGAGAGAGCGUAGGAAGAAGAGAAAAAGAGUGGCUAUUUUAUUUAUUUCUGCUGUCAUGAGCAUGAUUGUGCACUAAUGCGUAAGAGACCUAGGCGUAUCGUUGAUCCGGAUGAAGUGGCUGAGAGAAAUGUUGCUAGUCGGAAACAAAUGCCAAGGAAUCUGUACUAAGGAUCAAAUAUUUUUUGCUAUGACAGUUUGCGCCUAAUUAAGAGAUCAUUUUCUGACCUAUGUGCCAUCUUACGUGAUAGGUGCGGUAUGUGUGAUACUGUCGGUAGAAGAAAAUGUGGCUAUCUUUUUGCUUAUAGUGGGCCAUGGCACUAAGAUGAGGAUGAUUCGUAGCUCAUAUAGGUGGUCGCUCGAGCCAAUCUACCAUCAUUUCAAUGAGGUGUUGAGAGGUGUUCUAUCAUUAUGCCAUGAAUUUAUCAAGCUUCUUGAUCCAUCAGCUGUAGAACCUGAGGAUUCCAAGUGGAAGUGGUUUGAAGAUUGCCUUGGAGCAUUAGAUGGUACACAUAUUGACAUUUUGGUGCCUUUGGCUGACCAAGGGAGGUAUAGGAAUAGGAAGCAACAGAUUACCACCAAUAUUUUGAGGGUUUGUGAUCAUCACAUGAAAUUUAUUUACAUCUUAGCAGGAUGGGAAGGAUCGGCUUUAGAUUCACGUGUGCUACGUGAUGCAAUGUCUCGGGACGAUGCAUUUCUUAUUCCAAGUGGGAAAUACUAUCUUGUAGAUGCUGGAUACACCAAUGGACCGGGCUUUCUUGCUCCAUAUCGAUCCACUCGCUACCACUUGAAUGAGUGGGCUGCUCAAGGGCAUAACCCAUCCACUCCCAAAGAACUAUUCAAUUCGCGCCAUUCAACUGCUAGAAAUGUGAUAGAGAGAACAUUUGGGCUAUUAAAGAUGAGGUGGGCUAUACUAAGAAGCAACUCAUAUUUUAACUUACAAAAUCGGGUAUUCCGUAGUUAGUAACCUAGCUUGAAAUUCACCUCUGAAUGACCCUAGCAUGUAACUCAUUUCUACUAAUUUUUUGCAGAUUAGGAUCAUUAAUGCUUGUUGCAUAUUGCACAACUUUGUAAUUGAUAGACAAAGAGAUAUAGAUGACUUACUUAUAUACACCAAGUUGAUCAAGUAAUAUAUGUUGAACCUCAUGAAGUUCAAAGUGAAGUGGGCAUGAUUAGCAAUGUUCAAUCAUCAAAUGAAUGGAGCAAUUUUAGGGAUACCAAAGCUAACCAAAUGUUUGCUGAUUACCAAGCGAGACGUGGUCAAUGUAUGAUAAAUUCUAUCAUCAAUGCAUGCUCAAAUUUAUGAUAUUUGGUGUUGCUCCUUAAUAUUUUACUGAUAACCUUUGUGAACUUUUUUCUUGUAGAAUAUGGAGAAGGGCAAGAAGUCAGUCUCGAGCAGGGGUUACAUUUGUUGGAAUGACGACAUGAAUAAGGCUCUUCUUGACACAUUUGUGGAGUACUAUAACAAGGGUGACACAUGCCAAAAUGGGUGGAAGUCUCAUGUCUAUACAACUUCUAUCAAGAAUAUCCGAGAAAAGUGUAAUGUGGAUAUCACAAAAGACAACAUCAUGGCAAGGAACAAGACCUUUGACAAACACUACACUAUCAUCAAUGGUAUGUUGGAAUCAAGUGGAUUUGGUUGGGAUUGGAACAAAAAUAAAAUAUCUGUUGAUAGUGAUUCUGUAUGGGAAGAAUAUGUGACGGUAAGUUUCAAAAACCACUGAUUUACUUGCUUAACUUGCUUCUCUUUACAAGCAGUUUUCAUUUUGUUAGACACAAUCACAUAUGAGGUUAUCCUUAUUUUACACAUGGUAUGGUAUGAAUCUACUAGGUGGGCUUGGCAUAUAAUUGAAAGAUUUUUUGUACUCUAUCUAAAGUGGCAAUGAUUGUUUCAUCAAAACUUAUUGUUCCUGAAAACUUAUUGGCAUAUAAUUGAAAGUUUCUAUCUAUUGUUGAAAACAGUGUGUAGUGAAUUAUGUUCGUUACCUGUGUUCCUAAACAAUUAUGUAUGCAUCCUUGUCCCUGUAUGUUUUGUUACUUUUUUUAUUGAUAGUGUGGCAUCUUUAGGUUGUUCUUGAAAUGAAAGUAUACUUUCACUGCACAAGAAUUUAUUGGCCAGAAUAGUGGCUUGUAUUGGUCAGAUCCUAGUCAGCAAGUGCACGUCUCCUACAAGGCUGAGAAUCUUGCGUGAGGAAACUAGAGAGACCACUAGCAUGAACAAUGCCUCUCCAUACUCUGCAAUUUUUGAACUUUAGAUGCACCUGUCUCUUUGCUAGAAUUGCAAAUUAAGUAUGAAACAUGAAUCGACAUCAUUUAGUAUUGUUGUGCAGCACCAUACAAUGGUUUUGUGGUUUUGUGGAUUCUAGAAAAGGAUUCUCACAAAUGAUAGUUGCCAGUUAUACCUUUUGUUGCCAGUUCUACAAAAGGAGCCAUGGAUGUGUUUCAAUUUGUAGAUAUUCAUUGUGCAAAAUGCGACUAGAGCUUCUAGUACAUGUAUUUCUAAUAGUAGAAGCCAUGCAGAAGUUCCUGUAUUUGAACUACAGUAUGUAAACUGAUCUAUAUGUGUCUAAACUGGUCUGUAUGUGAACUACAAUGAUUGUACUUCUAUUUGGGUUCAGUACAUACUUGCUCUACACUUGUUUUCUAACCAAGUACAUUUAUUUUCUGUAGAAAAAUAAAGAAGUUACUGGGUACAGGCACAAGACUGUCUUGUACUGGGACUCAAUUAGCUUGGUGUUUGGCAAAGGCCAUGCUACUGGUGAAGCGGCAAAGACUGUGGCUGAGAGCUCAAAAAAUAUGAGUAAGGAAUAUCUUAGUAACAAAGAACCCACAUCAUCGGCAACUUCAGGAAGUUUAAAGAGGCAACGAUCAGGUGACUCUUUUACCUCUAUGAUAGCUGAAAAAAUGGACAAGUUUGCUGAAGCACUCAAGGAGGAAGCCCUAAAGGCCUAACAUCAAAAGAAAUUCUAGACACACUGAAUGAGGUACAAUGAUUGGAUGAAGACACUUUGUUGGACCUAUUUGAUAUCCUGACCGGUGAUGCACGCAAGUAUGAGUCUCUGUUGGCGCUUCCGGAGAAGAUGAGGAAGAGGUGGCUCCUAAAACAGCUCAAGAAGUGAAAAAAUUAGUUCAUAUAUAAAUUAUACUAUCAAGUGAUGGAUAAUGUCUAUUGAACUUCCAUUGCCUUGUAAUAAUAUGUGGCUUCAACUAUAUGAAAGUUUAGAUACUAUGUCUGUAUUGCUUGCAUUGUCAAGAUAAUAUGUUUAUCAUGAUCUCAUACUAUGUCUGUCAUGAAAGUUUAGAUAAUAUGUGGCUUCAACUUGUCAUGAUUGUAAUCUCCUUUGACAUGUUGCAAGUAAUCAGAUAUGUCUGCCAGGAUUGCAUUGUCAAGUAUGAAUGUAUAUCAGCAUUGUAGGGAGAGAAGCUUAUCUGCUUUUUGGAGAUAAACAUUCAAAUUACUGGUGUAUGACGGGAUGAAAUACUCUAGUGUUCACCUGGUUGGAAGGAUGAGAGGGAGAUGAGAGAGAGAGUUUGGAAGAGAGAGAGGUGAGAGUUCGGAUGAGAGAGAAAGCAGCUUAGAAGGAUGAGAGAGAGAAAGCGGUAUUCAGCUGGAUGGUGGAAAUUUUAUAUAUUACUAAUAAUGCAUCCAAACAAUAUUUGGAAUUUAAUUCUAAGAAAAACUUCCUUUGUACAACCAAAUAAGAAAAUUCAAUUGAAUCAAAUUCUACGGAAUCCAUUUCCUAUGGAAUCUAAUUGCUAGAAUAUGAUUCAUGGAAUGAGUUUCAAUUCUAGGGAAACAAACGGGCCAUGGUCUUCAUUCCCAAGGAAAGCUUGAGGCUCUGCAAUAUUACACAACAAUGAAGUCAAGAGGGUUGAUCCCUGAACCAAGGACCAAGAUACUGGUGAAAGCUAUACAUAUGAAGAAAGAUGGGGCUGUCAUAGAAGAUCAGUCUGCAAAUAUGACAGGGAAGAAUCUAAAACUGGAUCCACGAUCUAGACUAUUCCAUGUUCAUAAAUAGUUUGCUGUCAGAUCUUACUUCUAUGUGUCAAAAGAAUCUCUUCGACCAGUGUCCAGAUCACAAUGGUCACACCUUGGGCUACAAUAAAUCAUCAGCAAAGUGUAUUGGCAUUAUGUAUCCCAGAAAGUUUUGCUCAGACUUUCAAUGCCAGGGUAUGUUUUUUAUGUCUGAUAUGGAUCAAUUGCAGGUACUGUAUUACACGCUCGUAUUAUGAAGGUUAUGUGAAAUAUGACAGAUGUUUGUUUAUUCAUCUGUUAUGCAUGGCUGUGUCUACUGUCUAGUUGUUGGCUUGUUGCCAACAUAUGCAGCAGCAGGUAGCUUCAGCCGCUCAGAAGCCCAAAUGAAGGAUGGCCCAGGCAGAAUAGCUAUGUCCAGACCCAGAAAGCUUAGGACAUGUCUUGCCAGCCUGCAGUUUUGUACUCGUAGCACCAACCAUCUCCGGGUUCUGGCCGGUUAUAUACAUGGUCUGGAAUGGGCAUCCGCUGAUCGAUUGAAACCUUGAGUUGCUUCCGUGUGUCUUUUGCCAUCUAUAUAUUAUGGUUAGUCAACGGCAUGCAGUACACCCAUGCAUAUGAUUGCAGUAGGAUGACAUGGCGUGACCAGAACCCUUCUUUUGCCAGUUUUAGAUUCUUAUACACGGCCAACUGACGCAGCAGGGAGUUGCAUGCUAAGCAGUUCAGCGUAGGUGGUGAGUUCUCAACUCUGAUAUGGCUUAUGGAAGAACACUGUCACGGUGUCACCUAGCCGGUUGGAGGCCAACCUCUUACUAGGGACAGCAAUGGCCCUGUCCGGCCACUGUUUCGUGGCUGGUAUUAUUACCCCUAUGCAGUGAAUAUGACAUGUGGAUCUAUGUGUAUAUUAUGUCGUCAAAAGAACAUUAUAUGAACCGUUGAUCCACCUUUGAUUCUAUUAAUGUGUCAUGGUCAAUUGAUGUCAAACUCUAUUAUCUUCAAGUCUUACUGUAUUGAUAAAAUCACGAUGCUGCUACUGCCAUUUUGAUGUUUAUAAAAGGGUAUUGAGAACCUGGUGGGUAUCCAUUCGAUGCGCAGGGUUGGGGGUGGGGAAAAAUGAGUGUAAAGGACAGGGAUGCAGUAUUUAGAAAGAUGAGGCUGGCACAGAAAAUAGUCUCCAAGUAUGGCAGGGAAGAAUCUAAAACUGAAUCCUUGAUCAAGACUGUCCCAUAUUCAUAAAUAGUUCACUGACAGAUCUUGCUUCCAUAUUCUGAACAGCUGAUGCUGGGCACAUAGGAGGUUAACCGGUCAGCGGAUCAAAGAAAAUCCACAAUGGCCUCAUCUUGGGUUAGAGACAAUCAUCGGUAAAGAAUCAUAUUGCCGGAUAAGGAUAUCUGUGAUUGGUGGGUGCAGAUCCAUGCUCAUUCAAGAAACACAUGAUUCUUUACGGAUGAUCAUCUCUCAGCACACCCUGCUGAUAAGGUUAUCUGAGAUUGGUGGGUGCAGAUCCUAGAAACAAGCUAGGGCUGAAUGCGCCGCUGUACUUGGAUGUUGUGGUGACACCGUAAUGAUUGUGUGUUUAAUGGAGUUUUCCAUAGUGACUAGCGUGCAGGCCGUCCUCGUAUUUGAGAAAAAAAUCAAUGGGCGAAAUAUUUUCACCCAGGUAAUUGUUGCAUUGUAUGAAUAGGCUUAGAUACCUGGUUAAAGUAUGGUGCGUGUACUGUGACACAAGAAGAUUUAUCAUAUCUAUCUAUGAAUUAGUGUUAAAACUCCUACAUAAAUAUCUUCUCUUAUCUCACUUUAUGUAUAUAUAUGACACAGAAGCACAUGUAUAUCGGCAUUGUAGAGAUAGAGAUGAGAGAGAAGCUUAUCUGCUUUUUGGAGAUAAAUAUUCAAAUUACUAGUGUAUGAGAGGGAUAGAAUUAUUCUAUCAUAUUGUUUAUUCAACAUCUAAAAAGAUUCCAUGUUUAGUCAUCUAUAUCGGCGUUGUAGAGAGAGAGACUAGUGUUCAUCUGGUUGGAAGGAUGAGAGAGAGAGGAGAGAGUUUGGAUGAGAUAGAGAGAUAGUGUUCAGCUGGUUGGAAGGAUGAGAGAGAGAGAGAGGAGAGUUUGGAUGAUAGAGAGAUUAGUGUUCACUUGGUUGGAAGGAUGAGAGGGAGAUGAGAGAGUUCGGAUGAGGAGGUAGAGAGUUCGGAAGAGAGAGAGAGGUGAGAGUUCGGAUGAGAGGUGUGAGAGAGGUGAGAGUUCGGAUGAGAGAUAAAAUAGCUUAUAAGGAUGAGAGAGAGAGAAAGCGGUAUUCAGCUGGAUGGUGGAGACUUCAUAUAUUACUAAUAAUGCAUCCAAACAACAUUUGAAAUUUAAUUCUAAGAAAAACUUUCUCGGUAAAUCAAAACAAGAAAAUUCAAUUGAAUCAAAUUCUACGGAAUCCAUUUCCUACGAAAUCUAAUUGCUAGAAUAUGAUUCAUGGAAUGAGUUCCAAUUCUAGAGAUCCAAACGGGCCCUAAGAGAAUUGUAGUGAUCAACUCCCAAGUUGCAAUAUAUUCUAGGAAAUAGGUGGUUAUGAGGAUGAUACCUGCAGACAAUACUUUUUAUCCCUCAAUUCUUACAGAGAAUUGCACUAUCAACUGCAUUUUCAUUUGUGCCACGCUGCUCAGCUAUAAAAAACGGGGCAAAUCGACCAAAAUAAAUGAAUAAACCACAUGGUUUAGACUGGUGGCAUAUGUAUGUCUGAUGAGUUUAGAAUCCCAACAGACCUCUGUUUGCUUAUCCAACAGGAGGGAAAAAGUUUACUUACUAAAUCAGCUUUGCAUGUCAGGCUGCAAUUGUUAGAGAGUAGAAUUGGGUAAUUUGUGAACAUAAUUGAAUCAAAGUUUUGUCUCAGACUAGUAAUAGAAAAUGGUGAUGCUCCAUAGCUAGAACAACACGUUCCUACACUAGUUUAAAAAAUCCCCUGAAAUUGGGAACAAUGGUAAAGCCCAAACCAUACUUGGAACUUGGAAGGCCGCUGGCGGAUGUCAAAGUCAAAAACAGAAGCAGACAACGACGUCUCACCAGAUCACGAAUCAGAUGCGAUGCAUAUACAUGUUGCAGGCAUUAGCACGCAUCCCUUAGGAUUAAACAAUUCAGCAAGUAGCUCCCCUGCUGACCAAGAAAAGCAAGCUCUGUCUCGCAGCAAGCUCUUCAAUACGCUCCAGCCCAGCUCUACCAUGGCAUUUGCAAUGCGCGUCAUGAGCUUGCUUCCUGCCACCAUCGCCGUGAUGAUCGCAGCGGCCUCCUGGGGAGCGCACGGCGGUGCCAGCGACGAGGCCAGCGCGCUGCUUGCUUUCAAGGCUGAGCUCGCCGGCAGCGGCUCCGGCAUGCUUGCAUCCUGGAAUGGCACCGCUGGCGUCUGCAGCUGGGAGGGCGUGGCGUGCACCAGCGGCCAGGUGGUGGCACUGAGCCUGCCCUCUUAUGGGUUCGCCGGAGCCCUCUCCCCGGCCAUUGGGAACCUCACUUUCCUGCGGACCCUGAACCUGAGUUCCAACUGGUUCCAGGGGGAGGUCCCAGCAAGCAUCGGCCGCCUAGCGCGUCUGCAGACGCUUGAUCUGAGCUACAAUGCGUUCUCUGGUACGCUUCCUUCCAACCUCAGUUCCUGUGUCAGCUUACUGCUGUUAGAUCUCAGCAGUAACCGGUUCCAUGGGCGUAUCCCUGUUGAGCUUGGAGACAAGCUAACAAGUCUUCAGAAGUUCUCACUGGGCAACAACAGCUUGACGGGUGCCAUGCCAGGAUUACUAGGUAACCUGUCAUCCCUGAACUACCUUGAUCUGAGAAAAAACCACCUCGAGGGUCCGAUCCCACAUGAACUCGGCAGCAUGGGCGGCCUGCAGGUCCUUUUACUCCAUGACAACAGACUCUCCGGUGUGCUUCCACACUCCCUGUACAAUCUGUCCUCACUGAAAAAGUUGGGGGUAGGAGACAACAUGCUGUCUGGAACCAUCCCUGCUGAUAUCGGCGAUAGGUUCCCCGGUAUGGAAGCUCUUGACUUUUCUAGCAACCGAUUCAGUGGAGCUAUCCCACCUUCGCUCGGCAACCUCUCUGCUCUCACAAAACUAAUCCUUCAAGAAAAUGGUUUUAUUGGAUAUGUGCCUUCUGCUUUGGGAAAGUUGCAAAGUCUUACUGCCCUUUUCUUGGGUGUUAACAGGCUAGGAGCAAACGACAGUCAAGGGUGGGAAUUCAUCACUUCACUGGCAAACUGCUCCCAGCUUCAGGUUCUUGUUCUCGGCAACAACUCUUUCAGCGGGCAACUGCCUAAUUCAGUCACAAACCUGUCAUCAACUCUGCAAGGUCUUUAUUUGGGAGACAAUAUGAUUUCUGGGAAUAUUCCAAUAAACAUCGGAAAUUUGGUUGGUCUUACAGUAUUUGUGAUGGGAAAUACUUCUGUAUCUGGACAGAUUCCAGAGAGCAUUGGUCAGCUAAGAAACUUGGGUGUGUUAGGCCUUUACAACACUAGCUUGUCAGGCCUCAUACCUUCGUCACUAGGAAAUCUUACACAGUUGAAUAGGCUUUAUGCAUACUAUGGAAACUUAGAGGGGCCAAUUCCAUCAAACUUGGGGAACUUAAAGAAUGUGUUUGUCUUUGAUCUCUCAACAAAUCGACUCAAUGGUUCAAUUCCUAUAGAGGUUUUAAAACUUCCUCAACUUUCAUGGUACUUAGACUUAUCAUAUAAUUCAUUAUCCGGGCCACUUCCAAUUGAGGUUGGUACCAUGGUGAAUCUUAACGAACUGAUUCUGUCUGGAAACAAGUUGUCAGGCACCAUACCAGCUAGUGUUGGGAACUGUAUAUCGUUGGUACGGCUGCUGCUCGAUAACAACUUAUUAGAAGGAAGCAUACCUCAAUCUCUGAAGAACAUAAAAGGUCUUGCAUUACUGAACCUAACAAUGAAUAAGCUAUCUGGUAGUAUUCCUGAUGCCCUUGCUAGCAUUGGCCACCUGCAACAACUGUAUCUUGCACACAACAACUUGUCAGGUUCCAUCCCCAAAGUUCUACAGAAUUUGACAUUGUUGGCAAAACUGGAUUUGUCCUUCAAUGAUCUGCAAGGCGAAGUGCCAAAAGGGGGUCCUUUUGCAAAUGCAACUCACUUGUCAAUUGAUGGAAAUGAUGAGCUUUGUGGCGGAAACCCUCAACUUCAUUUAGCUCCGUGCUCCACAGCAGCUGCGGGGAAGAACAGAAGGCGAAUGUCAAGAUCACUUAUGGUCACCGUAGCGUCAAUCUGCGCACUUCUAUUCUUAGGUUUAGUAGUUUGUCUUAUCCAUUUGAUCCACAAGAGGCUCAGACAAGGAAAGGAAAAUCAACUCAUUCCCACAGCAAUUGAUGAACAGCACGAAAGGGUUUCAUAUCAAGCAUUAGCAAAUGGGACUGACCAUUUUUCGCAGGUUAAUCUGCUCGGACAAGGAAGCUAUGGUGCAGUUUAUAAGUGCACUUUACAAGACAAGGGAAUUACCGCAGCUGUAAAGGUAUUCAACGUGUGGCAAUCUGGGUCUACUAGAAGUUUUGUGGCUGAAUGUGAGGCACUGCGAAGGGUGCGCCACCGAUGUCUCAUAAAGAUCAUCACCUGUUGCUUAAGCAUUGAUCACCAAGGCCAAGAAUUCAAGGCACUGGUUUUUGAGUUCAUGCCCAAUGGUAACCUAAAUGGUUGGCUGCAUCCAGCAUCCAAAAUACAGAGUCUGAGCAAUACGCUCAGCUUAGCUCAGAGACUGGACAUUGCGGUAGAUAUCAUGGAUGCUUUGGAUUAUCUUCACAAUCAGUGUCAACCGCCUAUUAUCCAUUGUGAUCUCAAACCAAGUAACAUCCUCCUUGCCGAAAGUAUGAGUGCUCGGGUUGGAGAUUUCGGCAUAUCAAAAAUCCUUCCUGAUGACACUAGCAAAACUAUGCUGAAUUCGGUUAGCUUCACUGGACUAAGAGGUUCCAUUGGAUACGUCGCUCCAGGUAACAGAAACUAACACUGAUAUUGCUAUGUUCAGUUUUUAACUUCCAUUUUGCCAAGUCCAGUUAUCUCGGCAUGAAUCGUUCGUAAGUAGCUUGCCAUGAAUCCACUGACCAAAUAGUUUCUGAAAUCUGAAUUGACUGCAGAGUACGGCGAGGGUCGCGCCGUCUCAACUCUUGGAGAUGUUUACAGCCUCGGCAUACUGUUGCUUGAGAUGUUCACCGGGAUGAGCCCUACUGACGACAUGUUCAAAGGCUCCUUGGACCUUCAUAAGUUCGCCGAGGCCGCUCUCCCCGACAGAGCCUUGAAGGUAGCCGACCCGGCAAUCUGGCUUCAUGAAGAAGCAAAGGGGGAAGACCCGGCCACGGUGAGAAGCAGAAGCGAGAGGUGCUUGGCUUCAGUGGUCGGGCUUGGCGUGUCCUGCUCAAAGCAGCUGCCAAGGGAGCGGACGGCGAUGCGGGAUGCUGCCGCUGAGAUGCGUGCGAUCAGAGAUGCCUUCCUGGUUCAAUGUGCAACAGAGACUUGGCCUGCAGUCGGCACCAGCGGCCUUGGAAGCACAGACACUUGAAUGGUGGACGGAGCUACGGUCUCUUGACGCACCAAGGAGCCACCGGACUAGCUGCUCUGCAACUAACAGGGUGGAGAAAGCGCCCCUUAAUGAAAAGAAAAACAGCCGGUGCAAGGCUUUAUACAAAGAAUGUGACAGCCACUGCGUGUAUCCGAGAGCCUUAUCUAAUCUACCGAGGAUUGUUAUGUAUGGAUGCGUAUAGAUUAUGCACGGACUCCUCCGUCCCAAAAUAAACGCACAUCUUGCUUCUUGAGGAGUCAAACUUCUAAGUUUGACUAAAAUUUAUAAAAAAAAUGUACUACUAUUUAUAAUGUAUAAUAAAUAUCAUUAGAUUGAGCAUUGGGUAUACUUUCUUAAUACAUUUAUUUGAAGAUGUAAAUGUUGAUACUAUUUUUUAUAUUCUUAGUCAAAUUUAAAAAUAUUUGACUCAUCGAGAAGCGAGAUGUGUGUUUAUUUUGGGACGAAAGGAGUACCCGUCACCGGGAUUAGUCAUGAUAUAAGAUUAGUCACGAUAUAAGUAGGGAUUAGCAAGCACCAAAACCCCAUUCACUGCCCAUCGAUCGCUCAAAUAAAAGAAACCAUUGCAUAUGGUGGCGAUGCGCUCGCGGGCCUUUCUCCAACCUUUCUGCUCUCGCGGGUCUUGAACUUGCAUGGAACAGUUUUAGUAAAGCUGCCUCCAACUUUAGGGAGAUUGCCAAGGUUCAUUUACCUGUCCUUAAGUGGCAAUAAGUUAGGAUCGAAUGAUAAGGACGGAUUGGAAUUCAUCACCAUGCUGGCAAACUUCAGCCAGCUUCAUCAACUGGCUUUUGACAAUAAUUCAUUCAUCGGCGAACUUCCUAGCUCAAUUGCAAAUCUAUCGACAACACACCAAUUACUCUAUAUACGAUACAAUUGGAUUUCGGGAUUUAUUCCAUCCAGCAUAGGUAAUUUGCUUGGUCUAGAACUGCUUACGUUGGCAAAUACUUUCAUAUCCGGAAUGAUUGUAGAUAGCAUUGGUCGCCUAGAAGACAUGUCCGUGUUAGGCAUUUACUACGCUAGCUUGUCAGGUAUCAUACCUUCAUCACAAGGAAAGCUUACACAGUUGAAAACUCUCUAUGCGUACGAUAGCAACUUGGAGGGUUCAUUUCCAGCAAGCUGGGGGAACUUAAAGAAUCUUUUUGUUCUUAAUCUCUCAACGAAAGUGCGUAACCCGCUAAAGUUUCAUGUCAAAGCAGAGCAUAAAUCUCUCUCAAAACUGCAAAACUAUCAUAAAGCAGAUCAGUCUGAGGGCUAGCCUAUGCCCUAUCAACGCCUCCCUUCUUGCCCUUUUGGUAAGAUUACCCCAAACUAGAGUCUAUAAUUAAUUAGCUAAGACUAGAGCCACGUAGUUCUUGUGGUUGUACUGUUUUCCUGAGUGGUCGCUCCAUGUUCCAAUUAAGCAUGAUGAUCUUGUAUUAAUAAAAGGUAUAUCAUAAAUAAAACAAGUUUAAUCAUUGAGUUCAUUAAAACCAUCACAAUCCAAGGUAUUGCAACUAAGCAUAUCUACCUUAAAAAAAGGUAAAACCCAGGUUGACAAGGAAUGAUCAUAAAAACUAGGUAAACCUUAAUAGGACCUAUCAAUAUUAAAUGUAGAGCAAUGCAAAAGUGAUUAAAUAUAGUUUUUGGGAUAAAAGUAUAAGGACACACGUGCCUUUCUCCAAAGAAUAGCUGCUCAGAUUAUCUUCCGCUCUUGUUCCUCAAAGCUCUCGAACAAUGUUCCUUCUACUUGCAUCAAUCAUCGGCACAAGCAUACCAAGCAAACAACAAUCACAACUAAGAACAAUACAUCAAUCAUUGGAAAGCUUUAAAAGAGCGUACUAAAGGAUAAGGCUUGAAUCUAAGGUCACGCGAAUGCAAGAAACGCUGGGAACAAAACUAUGGUUGAAAAGACAAAGUUAUCGAGAGAUUUGAAUUAUAAAAGAAAGAGAAAAGCAUAUGUGCUUCAUAUAUUUUAAUAAAACAAUGUAAAGAUAUUUUAGAGAAACAUCCUUAGCAUGUUAUAGUUAUGUAUGAAAAGACAAUGUAGAACUUAGUCAAAUUUUAUUAUAAACAUUCAAGUACAAUUUAUGCAAAUUAAAAAUUUAAUUUGAAAAUAAAGUAUAUGUAAACAUCUAAGCGCAUAGCUUUAUGAUUUAGGUUGAACUAACCAAAUAUAAUUAAAAACACAUUUAUAUUUAUAUUAAAUCAAAUUAACAUAUAAUUAUGAAAACUCGAGAUAUAAAUUAUGUAGCUUUUAUUUAGAAAACAAAUUGAAUAAACAUUUUAAUUAAAGAAGACAUGUUUAACAUGCAUUAAUUAGAUUAAUAUUAAAUUUAUUUUAAAAACAUGCAUGAUGGAAAGAUCGGCACUAACGUGUAAUUUGUGAUUCAGGUUGAACUAACCAAAUAUAAUUCAAAAACACAUUUAUAUUUAUAUUAGUCAAAUUAACAUAUAAUUAUGAAAACCCAAGAUGUAACUUAUGUAGCUUUUAUUUAGAAAACAAAUUGAAUAAACAUUAAUCAAUUUAAGUUUAAUUAUGAACCACCGUGGUGCAUCUCUAAUUCGCUUUUAAUUGAAAGAGUUAUUUAAAUAAGCAUUAAUAACUAAAUUAACAUUUAUUAUGAAAAGCGGUUAUAACACUAAGUAGCUUUUAAUUAAGGAAGACAUGUUUAACAUGCAUUAAUUAGAUUAAUAUUAAAUUUAUUUUAAAACAUGCAUGAUGGAAAGAUCACUACUAACAUGUCCUAAGAAUGGAUAUAAACGGAGCUGUAAUGAGGAGUCCAUGGGUUAAACAAGGUUGCAGGGCCUAAUCGCGAUUAACGGAAGGUUAUUGGGGCUAGCAAGGAAGAUUUGCAAGACACUGGAAUAGAGCUCACCAUUAGGUCAAAGCAUAGGGUUAGAUAUGUUAAAGUGCUCAGGUUAGACUUGGUUGCACGGAUCCAAUCUAAUCAGGGACAUGGAUGAAAAAAAACAAGACACAAGGAAAAACUAACUAUUUGUAGAGCUUUAUAGGGGCCUAUGCGCAAAAGCACCACAGCUCAGCAUCCAUGGUGGACGGGCUCCUGGAUGGCAAAACCCUCGUGUCAGAUUUAUAAGCCUGGUAGUCCACCAAGGGAUUCCCCAAGUGGUUGAUUUGUAGAUGAGGGUGAUUGUGAAACCAAGAACUCGAAGGUGGUCGCGAGAACACGAAGGGACACUUAGACAAGUUCGGACCUUCGGAGAGUAAUACCCUACGUCCUAUAUGCUGGUUUGUAUUGCUUGAGAUUGAUCUAAUUGUUGCGAUACCCUCGGGGGUGCCCUUGGCCGCCUUAUAUAGGCUGACGAUCAAGAGUUAAAAGUCGGUUUGAAUCUAAUCUACUCGGUAGUUACAUGGAAAGUAAUCUGAGUUGGACUACAAUAUGUGUUCCAUGAUAUCUGGGCAGAUUUGAACUAUCUUAUUGCCUUGACUUGCACUCCAAGUAACUUUAUGUCCUCGGCCCGCACGCUCUGAUCGGGCAGGCCCUACUUGUUAGUCCGACCAGUAUCCUGGCCGGUCAGGGCCCAUGGGGUACCCAUAUCCCUUAAGGCCCCAAGCAUUGUGUAGGCAAACAGGAACUUGAUGUCAUCAAAGUGAAACUUGGAAUGAAAUCGGGUGAAGCUGACGAAGAGCCAACGCGUAGAGCGAGGAUGAGUGCCGAGUUGAUGGAUGCUGGCAUCCAGCAGGUCGAAGCGAAGGUUACGGAGGGCGUCGCAAGACGCACUCUGUAGGAGUAGCCCCGGAGCAUUGAAACAAUUAAGAUAAUCAAUACAAUGGUCAAAGAGGAAAAAAUUGUCCCCUGAAGUAGAUCCUUGUGCCCGAACACAAGGAUGGACGCAGCCACGGAGGCCCGCCAACCAGAAGUAGGCACCUAGACUCAAGGACGAGGACUGGUGGGACUGUGGAGCCAUGCCGACCUGAAAUAGGCAUCUAACCCCUGAGGACGAGGACUAGCAGAGCCGCAGAGGCAUGCUAACCUGAAAUAGGUGCCUAGCCCCCGAGGAUGAGGACUGGCGGAGCCAUGAAGGCACGCCGACUUGAAAUAGGUGCCAAGCCCCCAAGGACGAGGACCAGCAGAGCCACGAAGGCACUCUGACCAGAAUUAGGCGUCCAGCCCCCGGGCAUGAGUGCGAGGAUUGGCGGAAGCACAUCGAGUUGCCUCCCUUCCCGGGCUCAGGCAGAGAGGUUGGUCGGGUGACGAGAGGCACACCAAGUCAUCAAUGGUGCCCAGCCGCCGAGCCUAGGAGCCGGACGAGUUGCAAAAGCAUGGCAAGUCACCUCCCGCCCCGAGCCAGAGAGGUCGGCUGGGCGACGGGAGGCACGCCGAGUCAUCUACGGUGCCCAGCCCCCGAGCCUUGGAGCCGGCUGAGCCACAGAAGCACGCCAAGCCGCCUCCCGCCCUGAGCUAGAGAGGUCGUUUGGGUGACAAGAUGCACGCCGAGUCGUCUGCGGCGCCUAGCCCUCGAGCUUGGGAGCCAGACGAGCCACAGAAGCAUGCCAAGUCGCCUCCUGUCCCGUGCUAGAGAGGUCAGCCGGGUGAUGGGAGGCACGUCGAGUAGUUUUUGAGCUAUAAAAGAACAAUACAAUCAUUAUGUAGCAUAAUGUAGAUCAUUUAAUCAUUGAACAACUCGGAAGUUUAAUUCGCUGUAGAAGUAAACUCUUGCGCAUCCUGCUCUUAUAGGCCAAGUAAUUUCCCUAGGUAGUUAUCUUGUUACGUUUAAGCACCUAGCCCUACUGACCACUGUUCACGGAGAGGAUGGUUUAUCUUAGGCUAUAGUGCUGGGGCUGACCCGAUGCUCGCAUAUAGGAACGCGCAGGAUGAGUCAAGGUUUCACGGAUUAAGGCGUGUGCUACCCGAGUACUUUAGCAACCGUUAACAGGGAUGGACAAGUCGCAAAGCAACCGGAACUGUGCGGAAAAGCACCAGCAUGAGUUGGGCACCCAUGGGGUGUAGCCCCCGGCCGCCCGUGUAGUGGACGGAACAAAAGUCACGACAACAUGGAGGAGCCGAGGCUUAUGUAGGUAUAUGGAAGCUGUAAAAUAUUUUAUUGUAAAUAAUACUUAGCUUGAUUCGUGGUCGAGUCAAAGAACCCGCGUGUCAUCUUCGCGUUUAGUCUUAGAAGCCCCUGAGCGUGGUCGGCGGACAGUUGUUGGUGAAGCAAACUAGUCGGGCUCCAUGCCCAACUAAUUCGUGUCGAGUUCGAGUUGUUGGAGUUGUCAGCGGCAGGUUUGUGGUUGCGAUUGUGGUAUGCUGUUGCCAAGUCGAUGUGGCCAUCGGGUCGUGUCCGGCUGGCCGCUACGCUCACAGUACAGCAUGUCUGGGUUGUGCUGCCAAACCAAGGGUGCAUGUACAUCUUUUCGAACCUUGCAAGGAAGCCCUCACGUAUUAAGGAAAUCUAUACCUAAUAUUAAAGCUCCCGCAGCGUGCGCCUAUGCCACGUGUGGUGUGGACGGGUGUGCCGGCUGCGGCUGCGAGCUCCUCACUGCGGCAGGGACCAGGUCGAGCAGCGACAGUGAUGACGAAGGGGAGUAGUCCGCGUCUGCGUGCCAUGCCACCAUCGCCGGGCAAGGUGUGGCAGCGGCGGAGGGGGAGAGUGAGUACAUCGGCGUGCAGCGGCGGCCGUGGGGUAGGUGGGCGGCGGAGAUCCGCGACCCGCACUACGCCGUGCGCAAGUGGCUCGGCACCUUUGACACAGCUAAGGAUGCCACGCGCACCUACAACAUCACCGAUGUCGAGUUUUGAGGCCACUGCACCAAGAUCAACUUCCCCGACAACACGGCCCCCGCGCCCGCACCUUCCUGGGUGCCAAACUCGACAUACCACCACCACGACCACUUGCCGCUGCCGCUGCCCGAGAGCCUACACGAGACCUGCGGGGCGAACGCAUCCUCGUCGAUGGAUGUGGCUCUUGCGGUAGCGGCGUCGGCCGAGCAGCACGGCACGAGGCCGGUGCCGAAGGAGCAGGACAUCUGGGACAGGCUGAACGAGUUCAUGAUGAUGGAUGACGGUAGCUUUUGGUCACCCAUGCUAUGAUCAUCACAUUCUCCUCCAUUCUCCUCUUGUUUUCACUUUCGUUGCUUAGCGGAUAAUGGUGGUCAGCUGGCCUCUGGUCUGUCGUCAAUCGCCAGCCAUCCAUCGCUUUUAUAUGGUUUUGCACUAGCUUUUGGGCUUUGACCACACCCUCCACACCCAUACGAAAUGACUAGGUAGAGUGAUGUUGAUAUACUGCUUGCCGCGCGCUAGGGCGAGCAGCUACUCACUCGGGCUAGAUGCCCUACCCGCCACCUGGACCUAAGAGGUGAAGGAGAGAGGAGGGAGGGGGAAGGAAACAAGGAGCCGAGUGCCUCUUUGCAGUCAACCAAGUAGAGCCAUAUGCCAGCGAAGGCAUGGCGCCAGCGAGGGGGGGGGGCGCAGCGGCAGUCGGUAGGCAACACAAACAGGGGGCGGAGGUCGGGACCUCACAUCCCCCUCUCAAUGAUGUCCAUCCCCUUCAUAUCCAGAACUAAAGCCUCCACAUCUAGCAAUUGGGGGCUCGAUUUUGCACUUGAUUGGAACGAUUUGGAGUGGAUUAUAGAAGGGAAGUGGAUGGAAACGAGAAGAAGAGGAAAACACACUCCUGCUCAUGGCGGCCAGAGGCGCGGUGGCCUAGGUCUCGAAGCAGGAAUGAGGCUAGGCACGGGAAGGACGAGCGUUUGCCUAGGCGACGGUGAGGAUGGCAAGAUGCGUAGCGCCUGGAUGAUGGCGAAGAUAGGGCAUGAUGCGGGUGGCGCCGACGGACGAAGUGGCAUCGACUAGCUAGAUGACGAUGAGUACGGGGGAAAUCGAAUGAAUGGAUAGAGCGGAGGUUGAGCGGUGAUUUUUUUUUAUUUCCAUGUGUGGGUCCCAUGUAAUAAACAGAUGGCAUCAAACCACCCACAAAUAUCUUCUACUACUGUACUGGGAUAACGCAUCAACAUAUGGUGAAGCGAAAUCAACAUAUUAGGAACAAGCAAAUAAUAAUGUGAGAGUAAGUAAGGACUUGUAGCAACGUACAUGUAUUUCUGCUAGUAAGAAAAAAAAUUGUUAGCUGCCGUAGUAAGCACCAAGCAACGUAGGAGAUCUACUGGAUGGAAUAGAUUAAAUAAUAAAGGGAAGGGAGAAUUGUUCCUUUUUUUUGGCAGAUCCGACGUGUCUGCAUGCAACAAGUUGAGGUCGACGUGUUGUGCUAAAUCAACCGGAUCAGACUGGGGCCGGAUCAGGCGAGCUUGGCUGUGGCCGGGAUGAGGCCAAUAAGGGCGUCGCCCUUGACCUUGGCCUCCUGUGCCUCGCGGAUCUUCUACAUCUGGAGCAUCUGCUCCAUGAUGAGCUCGUAGUGGCACUUCUUGUAGGCGUGGCGCUCGGGCUCGCACUUCCAGCGGAGGUAGAACUCGGAGGUGCACGCACUGGUCGUGGUAGGCGAGCGGCACCAAGGCCUCCGCCAUCUCCACCUGCGUGAUGAUCUGGGGCUUCGUGGAGUCGAACUGAAUGCCGGCCAUUGCCGCCGCCUCCAUCUGUCACUUUCUUGCCCUCUCUCUUGCCGGCGAGGUCGUUCCGUUGAUAGAUGGGUGCUGCGGGUUUGGUGCGGCGUGGGUGGGUGGUGUGCAGCAAGGACGUGAGGAACCCUCUCGGAGAGAGAGAUUGCUUACCUACUAGGUAAACGGUGUGAUGAUCCUUUGAUAUAGACCUUGCUCCGCCGGAGUAAAUUCGACAGAUGCCAAGCUGGCGGCGGGCAUUGAGUCGAAGUCCACCGGCAUGCUCCUGAAGUGGAGCUGGAUCGGAUUGGCGAGGAAGUCCUUCAUGCUCUUGGGGAAAACAAUGUCGGGGCGGGAUGCCAUCGAGCUCGCUAGGGAGGAUCUUACAAUCAUCCCUACCUAGCGCGCCAACUGUUGGAUUUAUAAGCCCGGUAGUCCACCAGGGGGUUACCCAAGUAGUUGAUUUGUAGGUGAGGGCAAUUGCAAAAUCAAGAACUCGAAGGUGAUCGCGAAAACACGAAGGGACACGAAGGUUUUAGAUAGGUUCGGGCCUCCGGAGAGUAAUACCCUAUGUCCUGUAUGCUGAUUUGUAUUGCUUGAGAUUGAUAUGAUUGUUGGGAUACCCUCGGGGGUGCCCUUGGCCGCUUUAUAUAGGCUGACGACCAAGAGUUACAAGUCGGUUUGAAUCUAAUCUACUCGGUAGUUACAUGGAAAGUAAUAUGAGUCAGACUACAAUACGCGUUCCAUGAUAUCCAGGCAGAUUUGAAUUGUCUUGUUGCUUUGACGUGCACUCCAAGUAACUUCAUGUCCUCGACCCGCACGCCUUGGUCGGGUCGGCCCUACUUGUCAGGUCUGACCAGUAUCUUGAGGUACCCAUAUCUCUCACCUUGGUGCUCCGGCGAUUAGGGUCAGUGGCGAGGAUGGGGAUUGGAAGAGGAGAUCGAGGGGACUUUAUGGAGAUGCUCACCGGCGACGAGGCGGACGGAUUCUGGCCAGUAUUUGGCUGGCGGUGGAAGAACACGACAGCUGGCUCAAGUCUUCGUGAGUGAUGGUACUCCGGCGGUGGAGCGACGACGACGACUGGUGGCAGAGCUGCUCCUCGAUGUCACGGAGCUCCCUAAGGCUCUAGCUUGCUCCGAUGGUCGACGAGCACAGCGAAUCGGCCAGAGAAGGACGGCAGUGGCUCCUAGCUCUGGCGGAUGUGGGGGAUGGCAGUGCUCGUGCAAGCUAGGAAGAGUGGCGGUGUGAGGCAGGGCAAUAGCAGGGGCACAAUCUCGACUUUUAUAUGUGCGUGGGUCCGCGCCUGCCUUGGCACGCAUGCCGAGGUUCGGCGGUGGCGAUGCCCAAGUGCAGCUACGCUUGGCCUCGACCCGCUGUUGGUCGAUGGGCCUAGCGGGCCUAGCCGAGCCAUCAACUGGGCCGGGUCAGUGCAGGUUAGUUGGAGAGGGUCGGGCCCCAAAGACUUGGCCCCAUCGAUUAGGAUUUUUCUUUUUUUCAGAAAUGAUUUCUCGUGAAAGAAAAAUCCAGAAAAAUUCUAGAUAAUUAAUUUAAACAAUGAAAAAACUCUAAAAAUCCAAAAAUUUCAGGAAAAAUCAUCUCUAGUUUGGGACAUGAGGAGUCCAAAUAAAAUACUUGGACCUCGUGAAAAGGAUUCUAGAACCUUCCAAAAAUUGGAUUUAGCUUUAGAAAAAAAUGAGAAUAAAUCUUAGAAAAAUCUGAAAAUUCUCAUAAGAACCUAAUCAGCAUCUAAACGCAUUCCAAAACCUUUGCACUUAUGAAAUACCAAGAUGCAUUGGUGUGAAUGCAACCCAUACACAAUCAUUAUAUUUAAUUCAGAAAAACACUCAAUUGUUUUCCUAUACUAAAUUUCCUCUUAAGAAAAUAAAUGUUGGAAAAAUUUUAAAAUUGUGAAAAAAUUAUUGUUUAAUUAUUCUUUUUAAUCAAAUCCUGAAAUUUCAAAAAUUUUAAGGUGAGGCAGAUACCCUCAGGUUUACAGAAUUUGACAUCCAUGUGCAAAUUGGAUCUAUCCUUCCAUGAUCUACAAGGUGAAGUGCCAAAAGUUUUUUUUUGGCAAAUGCAACUUACAUGUCGAUUUAUGGAAAUGAUCAGCUUUGUGGUGGAAAUACCUCAACUUCAUUUAACUCCAUGCUCCAUGUCCAGUGCAAAAAAGAAAAAAAAGGAAAUUUGUCGAAAACCCUUGUGAUCACCCUAACAUCAAUCGGUGCAGUUGUAUUCUCAGUUUCAGUACUUACUGUAAUUGUGUUGAUCUGUAAGAAGCUUAGGAAAAGGCACGAAAGUCAACUCAUAUCCACAACUGAGGAACGGUAUGAAAGAGUUUCUUAUCAUGCUUUGUCAAAUGGGACCAAUGGAUUUUCAGAGGACAAUUUACUUGGACAAGGAAGCUAUGGCAUGGUUUAUAAAUGUACUUUACAUGACCAGGGCACUACAGUAGGCUACUGUAAAGGUGUUUAACACACAACAAUCUGGGACUUCUAGAAGUUUUGUCGCUGAAUGCGAGGCACUCAGAAGGGUGCGUCCUCGUUGUCUCGUAAAGAUCAUCACUUGUUGCUCAAGCAUCAAUCACCAGGGUCAAGAGUUCAAGGCACUAGUUUUUGAGCUCAUGCCAAAUGGUAGCCUAAAUGGUUGGCUUCACCCAGAGUCUGACACACUUACCCAGACAAAUACCCUUAGCCUUGAACAAAGGCUACACAUUGCUGUCGAUAUCCUGGAUGCUUUGGACUAUCUUCAUAAUCACUGUCAGCCAUCAAUCAUUCAUUGCGAUCUCAAGCCAAGCAACAUCUUUCUUGCGGAGGACGUGAGUGAGUGCCCGAGUUGGAGGUUUUGGCAUACGAAGAAUCCUUCCAGAAAGUGCUAGUAAAACCCUGCAAAAUUCGAAUAGCACAACUGGAAUAAGAGGCACCAUUGGUUAUGUUGCACCAGGUAAUGAAAGAGAUAUUUUUGGUAUUUGUAAAAUGUUCUUAGUUCUUACGUAUACAUGACCUGCUGACCUUUGGAUUUUUUCCCCAAUCAGAGUACGGUGAAGGUUCUUCUGUCUCAACUCAAGGUGAUGUUUAUAGCCUCGGCAUAUUGCUGCUUGAGAUGUUUACUGGAAGGAACCCAACAGAUGAGAUAUUCAAUGAUUCUUUGGAUUUGCACAAGUUUUCAGAGAAUGCUCUUCCAGAGAGAAUAUGGGAUAUAGUUGAUCCGACAAUACGGAUGCACACAGAUGCCUAUAACAGCACUAUAAGAAGUGGAAUUAAGAAUUGCUUGGUUUAUGUUGUUUCUCUUGGAAUAUCAUGCUCGGAGAAACAACCUAGGGAGCGGAUCCCGAUUCUGGAUGCAGCCAUUGAGAUGCACGCUAUUAGAGAUUCGUAUCUCAAGUUUGCCAGAUCUCUUUUGGUGGAGCAUGGAGUAGUAGCAACAACUCACAGUGAUUUUCCACAACAGUGAAUACAUAGGACUGAAAAUGCGCAAGAUGUCUGCAGAUGAUCAGUUUACCUGAAAUAACUGAAGAUGUAUGAAGCUUCAGCUUUAUAAUUUGUCCAUGCAUUUGUUUGCAUCAGAUAUAUGGAAGUAUAAAAUAAGUUUAGAAAAUGUUUCAAAAUAGAUUAGAUCCAGAGGUUUUAGUUGUCGUUUGUAUGACACAUUUUUGUAGAGAAUUCAGUAAUAUGUAUGAUUCAUAAUACAAUCAAUGCUCUGCAAAUUUCAGAUAGCACAAUUGGAAUAAAAAGCUCAUUCCUUGAUUAUGUUUCUCUAGGUAACUCAACUUAUUGUGAUGUUCACUGUAGAUUUCUCCAUGGUCCAAACGACCUUUGUGAUCAGUUAUGUUUAUGCAUUUUGUAGAAUUGUAAAGUCUUUCCCUAACCUGCUGACAUAUUAGCCGGAGCAUAGCACUUUGCCGUUCUGUACCACUCGCCUCUAGGAGGCGCUUGCCGCUUGGUGGCUGCCGUGGCGACCGACGGCAUCCGUACCUGCUCUGUCGGAGAUGGGUGGAGCUGCUCUGCUCUGCCGGUACGAGCUCACUCGCGCCGUGAAUGGCGCGCGCCUCUAAGGUCUCAUCAGCUGCAGGUGCAGAUGGGUGGAGAGCUUAGCGGCGCUAGGUCUUCAGAAGAUGGGGCUUUGCAGCUCUGAAUGGUGAGGCGGGCAGGGACGACGGAGCUGGACGCGUGGGGAGGAGACGAUGGGCAUUUCUGAUAAUAGUUGGAUCGCGAUCCAAAUUAGGGGGCUAUUUACAAAUAAUAGGGGGUAUUCCGUAAAUAUUCGGAUCGCGAUCAUUAAUCGCGAUCCAAAUGAGGGGUUAAUUGAAAUUAUGAUGGGGUGUCUUUUGAAAUUCCGGAUCGCGAUCCCAUCCUCCGCCGCGGCUCGCCGGAGCGCCGCCAGACGCCGGCCAUCCCUUGGGGUACCUCUUCUUCCUUCCGCUUGUCGGAGCCCUAAGACGUGGUCGGUGUUUGAUCUGACAAGGAACCUUGAAGUCCGGACUAACUGAAGAAGACAGACAUGAUGCUGACCUGGAAGACGACGGCCUCGCCAUGGCUGGAUGCGGCGCGGUGGAAGGACAGUGUGGUGGAGGGCGUGGUCCACCACAUUCCGUCGACGGGCGGCGCACUUGCUGUCGCCUGUCGGCUACUUCCAGGCCGUAGCUGAGCUUCAGAGUUCAGACAGGGUGCUUGUGCUUGCAACAAGUUCAGAACGAUGUCAUUAAUUUGAUGCAGAGGAUGGAGCAAACCGGUUGCAAAUUGGAUUCUGAUACAUAUAACUUAAUAUUGAACCUUUAUGUCGAUUGGAAAUAUGAGAAGGGGUGCACCAAAUAUGGGAUGAGAUGGAGAGGAGUGGAUCAGGCCCAGAUCAACGAUCAUUUACUAUUAUGGUUCAUGGUCUUCAUUCCCAAGGAAAGCUUGAUGAGGCUCAACAAUGAAGUCAAGAGGGUUGAUCCCUGAACCAAGGACCAAGAUACUGGUGAAAGCUAUACAUAUGAAGAAAGAUGGGGCUGUCACAGAAGAUCAGUCUGCAAAUAUGACAGGGAAGAAUCUAAAACUGGAUCCACGAUCUAGACUAUUCCAUGUUCAUAAAUAGUUUGCUGUCAGAUCUUACUUCUAUAACCUGAACAGAGGAUUGCUGGGCACGUAUUAUGUGUCAAAAGAAUAUCUUCUACCAGUGUCCAGAUCACAAUGGCCACACCUUGGGCUACAAUAAAUCAUCAGCAAAGUGUAUUGGCAUUAUGUAUCCCAGAAAGUUUUGCUCAGACUUUCAAUGCCAGGGUAUGCUUUUUAUGUCUGAUACGGAUCAAUUGCCAGUACUGUAUUACACCGCUCGUAUUAUGAAGGUUAUGUGAAAUAUGACAGAUGUUUGUUUAUUCAUCUGUUAUGCAUGGCUGUGUCUACUGUCUAGUUCUUGGCUUGUUGCCAACAUAUGCAGCAGCAGGUAGCUUCAGCCGCUCAGAAGCCCAAAUGAAGGAUGGCCCAGGCAGAAUAGCUAUGUCUAGACCCAGAAAGCUUAGGACAUGUCUUGCCAGCCUGCAGUUUUGUACUCGUAGCACCAACCAUCUCCGGGUUCUGGCCGGUUAUAUACAUGAUCUGGAAUGGGCAUCCGCUGAUCGAUUGAAACCUUGAGUUGCUUCCGUGUGUCUUUUGCCAUCUAUAUAUUAUGGUUAGUCAACGGCAUGCAGUACACCCAUGCAUAUGAUUGCAGUAGGAUGACAUGGCGCGACCAGAACCCUUCUUUUGCCAGUUUUAGAUUCUUAUACACGGCCAACUGACGCAGCAGGGAGUGGCAUGCUAAGCAGUUCAGCGUAGGUGGUGUGUUCUUAACUCUGAUAUGGCUUAUGGAAGAACACUGUCACGGUGUCACUGUCCAACCUCUUACUAGGGACAGCAAUGGCCCUGUCCACUGUUUCGUGGCUGGUAUUAUUACCCCUAUGCAGUGAAUCUGACAUGUGGAUCUAUGUGUAUAUUAUGUCGUCAAAAGAACAUUAUUUGAACUCUAUUUGUGGCGCCACCUUUGAUUCUAUUAAUGUGUCAUGGUCAAUUGAUGUCAAACUCUAUUAUCUUCAAGUCUUAUUGUAUUGAUAAAAUCACGAUGCUGCUACUGCCAUUUUGAUGUUUAUAAAAGGGUAUUGAGAACCUGGUGGGUAUCCAUUCGAUGCGCAGGGGUGGGGGUGGGGAAAAAUGAGUGUAAAGGAUAGGGAUACAGUAUUUAGAAAGAUGGGGCUGCCACAGAAGAUAGUCUCCAAGUAUGGCAGGGAAGAAUCUAAAAACUGAUUCCUUGAUCAAGACUGUCCCAUAUUCAUAAAUAGUUCACUGACAGAUCUUGCUUGCAUAUUCUGAACAGCUGAUGCUGGGCACAUAGGAGGUUAACCGGUCAGCGGAUCGAAGGAAAAAAAAAUCUUGCCUGUCAGUGUCCACAAUGGCCUCAUCUUGGGUUAGAGACAAUCAUCCCUAAAGAAUCAUAUUGCCGGAUAAGGUUAUCUGUGAUUGGUGGGUGCAGAUCCAUGCUCAUCCUAGAAACAAGCCAGGGCUAAAUGCGCCACUCAUUUUAGAUGCUUGGAUGUUGUGGUCACACCGAAAUGAUCGUGUGUUUAAUGGAGUUUCCCAUAGUGACUAGCGUGCAGGCUGUCCUCGUAUUCGAGAAAAAAAAAAUCAAUGGGCGAAAUAUUUUCACCCAGGUAAUUGUUGCAUUGUAUGAAUAGGUUAGAGUAUGAAUGUGCGUGUACUGUGACACAAGAAGAUUUAUCAUAUCCAUAUAUGAAUUAGUGUUAAAUUUGCUACAUAAAUAUCUUCUCUUAUCUCAUUGUAUGUGUAUAUAUGACACAGAAGCACAUGUAUAUCGGCAUUGUAGAGAGAGAGAUGAGAGAGAGAAGCUUAUCUGCUUUUUGGAGAUAAAUAUUCAAAUUACUGGUGUAUGAGAGGGAUAUAAUUAUUCUAUUAAAUUGUUUAUUCAACAUCUAAAAAGAUUCCAAUGUUUAGUCAUCUAUAUAGGCAUUGUAGAGAGAGAGACUAGUGUUCAGCUGGUUGGAAGGAUGAGAGAGAGGAGAGAGUUCAGAUGAGAAAGAGACUAGUGUUUAGCUGGUUGGAAGGAUGAGAGAGAGAGAUAGAGUAGAGUUUGGAUGAUAGAGAGAUUAGUGUUCACCUGGUUGGAAGGAUGAGAGGGAGAUGAGAGAGUUCAGAUGAGGAGGUGGAGAGUUUGGAAGAGAGAGAGAGAGGUGAGAGUUUGGAUGAGAGAGAAAGCAGCUAAGAAGGAUGAGAGAGAGAAAGCGGUAUUCAGCUGGAUGGUGGAGACUUCAUAUAUUACUUAGCGUUGCUACGGCGAAACGACGUUGCUUAGCGCGCGAUGUUUUUAUCGUGUCGUGUAGCGCACCACAUUUUUUAUCGUGUUGUGUAACUUUUUUAUUUUAGUAGUAUUAGACUUUUCAUACAUAAGGGGCCACGUGAGUGUGUCCAUAUCCCAACCGUGCGGAGACCGCUUGUCAUUGAAUUUGUUAUCUCUUGCUCUAUCUUGUGAUUGGUAGGCUUCUACAGCAAUUCUGCACAAAGAAGGCCCCACUUCGCCCCACUCCUGACGUCCGGUUAUUCCCACGCCUGCCCUCUCCCUCUCCAAUCCUCACCGCCAGCUCCUCAGGGUCUAGGUCGGCCCGUGAUGUAGUGGCCUAUUAUCCUUCCACCGUUGGAAGCGAGCAGUGAUCGCUGCUCUGUGAACCUAGCCUCAAGCUGUUCCUACCACUUCAGGUCCAGUGAUGCCCGAGCUUUCGCUUGGCCCGAACAGGCCACUACCAACUUGGAACGGGCAAGGCCAGCAAGGGCACAGAAUAGACCCAAGCCCAGAGUCCGCGCCCAACCAUCCACACCACCUUAAUGCCCCCACUUGGGUUACAAGCCCGCGCAACCAAGCUCGGUGAGGAUGGCUCGUGAGGACGAACAUUUAAGCUGGUGCGUUGCUGCUUCAGAUGGCGAGGUGAUACUAAUAUAACGAAUAGGAAAAUUUCACGUGGGUCCCAUGCCGCACCCACCCCUAUCCUUAUCCUUUCUCAUCUCUCUACUGUCUGUCCGGUCCUUAUCCUCCUCAUCUCAUCUCUCUCUCUCAAUCCCUCUCUCUCAAACUCUCUAUCUCUCCUAUCCCCUCUUUCUCUGGAGAACGCGGUGCACGGCCAGCCCCAGCGGCGGCCUGGAGGCGCGAGGUGCCGCCGGCGGCCGAGGGUUGCGGGGCUGCGGCAAGGAGCCUCCUGGCUGUGGAUGCGACGGCCUAGCCACGGGUGCCGGGCCGCGUCACACCGCGCGCUGCUGCCGUCGAGCGGGCCGCACGCACUGCCCACACACCAGGCGGCGUGGGCGGCCAGGCUGAGCGGCGCGGCCGGGGCUGGGGAGGCGACUCUGGUGCGGCCGAGGUAGCUUGGGCACGGCCGGCUGUGGUGGGUAGGGAGAGGUGGACGGCGGCACAACGGCAGCGCGGAGAGGCGGACGUCAGGCACGAACGGGUGAAAGGGGAGACUGGGAAAGAAAGCUGGACCCACCUAUCAAUGCAGCCGGGGCCGGGGCAGCGCGGGCGGCUGAGGCCGAGGCCAGGCGGCGCGGUCGGGGCCAGGGAGGCGGCUCUGGUGCAGCCAGCCGUGGCUGGCAGGGAGAGGCGGACAACAGCGCAACGGCGGCAUGGAGAGGUGGACGUCAGGCACGGGUGGGUGAAAGGGGAGACGGGGAAAGAAAGCUAGACCCACCUGUCAAUGCGUUAAUCUUACCUAUUAUUAAACAUCAGGGCCACCUCUCAUUGAUAGAAGUUGGACCAAACCAAAAAAAAGUGGGCAGAAGUGUUCCUCACUUUAAUAGUAACAAUAAAGUAUAGAUAAUGCAUCCAAACAACAUUUGGAAUUUAAUUCUAAGAAAAACAAAAUAUGAUUCAUGGAAUGAGUUUCAACUCUAGGAAUCCAAACAGGCCUUAGUUAUUUCUUAUGUAGCUCAAAUCAGAUGCAAGGUACGUCCUAACUUAAAAAACGUAAGUUACUUUGUGUUAUCUUGUGAAUCAGUGAUUAAUUACUUCCAAUCUUAUGUAAAAAGAACUACGAGUUAAAUUCUUUGUCAGAUUUAUACUGACAAGUUACAAGCACAUACCUCUGCAGUAACAGGCGAGCCCUAGACUAGUGGGCAAACCAAAAACAACAUGAUUCGUCAACUGAUCGAAUGCUAAUGACUAUUUUGCUAGGAGAAUGAACAUGAUUCAUGAAAAAAAGGGAGCUACUAACUUGGUCAAGGUCUCCGUCCUCUAGCGUGGGGAAGGGGCCAUCUUGCUCCACGCCACGUCUGCGUGGUUGCUCGGCGGGCGCGACGGCGUCGGCUGCGGAGUGCGGACGGCGCGUAGAUAUGUCAUUGUUGAUCAGGACAUGCACUGCUAUCACCGUCUGUUAUUGGUCAAGGUCUCCGUCCUCUAGCGUGGGGAAGGGGCCAUCUUGCUCCACUCCACGUCUGCGUGGUUGCUCGGCAGGCGCGACGGCGUUGGCUGCGGAGUGCGGACGACGCGUAGAUAUGUCAUUGUUGAUCAGGACAUGCACUUCUAUCACCGUCUGUGGUUGGCGUCCGCGGCCGAGCGGGUCAAGGUCUCCGUCCUCUAGCGUGGGGAAACAGGAUCUCUUCAAUCAGUGCUUCUACAGAAACGGUGCACGGUCACCACGGACCAACGACAUACCAUGAGAAAAGCAGAGCGAAAUGUUGCAGUAGCAGAGUGACCGGAGACUGGAGAGCACUUGCUGCUAAAAGCUGCCUCUUAUUUUGUAUCGUCUUAACAGAAGACUUUAAGUCAACCGCCAUUCGAUUCCAAUAUAAACUAGCAAGUUGGCCCGCGAUAAUACUGCGGCUAGAUUUGAUACAGUAUAAUUUUUUUAAAUACUAUGUUAGCUUAGUAUAUUUCUUUGUCCCUCUUGAUUUGUUUUUCAUCCUCUUGAAAUCACUGAGUAUAGUUAGGUGCCUUACUCUACACAUUGAGUAUCAAGCCAUAUGUGUAUAUUUGUUUUUUUGCAAAUGAACUCCGAUGCCACAUGUGCAUAUGCACGCCUAAUUAAAAUUGCUCACUUGUAACAAAAUAAGAACAACUUGAGUAGUUGAUUCUGAUCUUAUGUUGAAGUUUUUGCCAACUUUUCCUAGUAUUGUUGUGUUGAGUAGAAAGCCUGUGUAGAGAAAGAUACAAAACAAACGAUCGUGUCAACUACUCCCCAUGCUUGCUCAAAUGAUUUUGAAAAAAAAAAACAACCGCGCUCUAAGUCCUAGGGCGGUGAUAUUCCUCCUUACUUUCCUCCUCUUGUUUUCCAUGCACAAUCGAGGAUGACAAAUACCACAAACCACUUAGGCUCGAUCAUGUUUCAUCAUCACAUUCCUCAAAUCUUGAUCACGUUGUUGUCUUCAUUAUGCUAGCAGUACACAUCUCUCCGCCUCUUCUAUUCCACAAAACCAUAAUUGUUCACCGGCUCCAGCAUUGUUGUUGCUCUCCACCAAUCGAGGAAGCUCUUGUCCUUGACAUCACCUUAUCCACUGACCAGCUGAAGUUAUCUGUACAUCCAAAGGUCUCAUAAGAUUUUUGCUGGAUUUGCAUUAAUAUUAAUAUUGCCACCAAUCUAGUCUCAACCUCGCCUUGUGUUCUCCGUGGUCAUUUUUUAUUCUAACUUGCAAGCUCCACAACUACAUAUGAUGGUUCUUCUAUAUACAUAAUAUAUCGCAUCUUCUAAGACAUAUAUCGCGGGCCGGCGGCGCGCGGGGGAGCGGCGCCGGUGGAGCGGAGGCGACCGGUGGUGGGCGGAAGCGGGUGGGCGCGAGCGCGGGUGGAGGCGGAAGAGCGUGCAGGCGGAGGCGGAUGGGUGGAGGCGUGCAGCGGCGGCGGGCGCGGGCGUGUGGCAGCAAGGCCGGCGGCGCGGGGAGGCGGAGACCGGUGGCGGCCAGCCGGCGAGCGUGGGGAUUCUUUUUAUUUUUUUCGAAAUUUUUUAGUCCCGAUUAGUGGUUGGUAACCCAACCGGGACUAAAGGGGACCUUUAAUUCCGGGUGGAUGACCCGGGACUAAAAAUCUCCUCUUUUGUCAAGCCAUCACUAUUGUCCAUAUCACAACGCCUGUGCCUUCUCUUGUUGUCCUCCCCCUUCCCUCUACCUUGCACCUUCUGUUUUCCUGAUCCUAUUGCCAGUUUGUUGCAGCCAUUUAUGGGCACCUCUUUCAUCCAUUGUCCACUGUUGUUGCCCGCUGCUUCAGUUCUUCUCUGACCAAAGCGGUCGUAUCGCGCUGGCCGGUAGGAAGCCAUCAUCUCGCAAAAGCGUCAUCGUCGUCGCCAAACCACAUCUAGCCGAUGCCGAACCAUACUUGCCAUCUUCUUUGCCAAUUUGCCGCUAUGGAAGCCUCCAUGCAUCGCUCAUCAAGUCUAUCCUAUCUCUAUCAGCUCCUGUGGUAUCCUGUUUUGUUUUUGCCUCAACCACGAAGCCAUAGGUUGCUGGUGCUAAAUUGCAGGGCUAGCAACAGGUAUUUCCUCUCCCUGGCCUUGCGGCCAUGCUAUGUAUUUUUCUCUUUAAAAAAAUUACAAUGAUUUAAUCCUAAUGUUCCGAUCAUGUGUGAUUGGUUUAUUAAUUAAAGUUAGAGUUAUACUUGAGUAUAUUAUAUAAAAAUAAUAUAUAUAUAUAUAUAUAUAUAUAUAUAUAUAUAUAUAAGUUACCAUACAAAGUACAACUUCCUACAAGGUGGAGAGGUUCGGAUGGAAUUUUGAUUCAACUUACUCUAUUCUAGAUAUUAGAGUUGUACUAGCAAAAUAUGCUAGUAUGUUGCUACGGUAAAAGAUCAAUUGUGUUUUUCAAAUUAAUAAUAUUUUUUAUUUUCAUAACUAAAUUUUUAUUCCACUUAUUGGAUGUCCACACAUUUAAUAGAAAACUAAAAGAAUUUUUUAUUCAAGCAAGAUAGUUAAAUCAGCCUCCGAUGGCCACCGACGGGGGCUCUUUAGGACUCCUUUAGCCCCGGUUGUAAAGCUAGUGGUCCUCGGGAUUCUGGUGAGGCGUUUUGUCCCGGUUGUAACUACCAACCGAGACUAAAGGGGGGGCCUUUAGUCCCGAUCAGUGUUUCCAACACAGACAAAAUGCUCCUCACCUCCACAUACACAAUGCGCGUGCCCCAAUUUCUCUCCUCCCUCCCCUUAAUUCCAGCGGCCAGGCCUCCUCUCCUUAAUUCCAACACCCACAUGCCUCCUCUCCUCCUCCCUUCACCCCCUACCUCCUCUCCUCCCUCUCUCUCUCUCCUCCGCCGGAUCCGGCCGGCCCCCACUCCCUCUCCCCAAGCUCCUCCCUCUCCCUCGGCCGAGGCGGGUGGCGCAGCCGGGGCCAGGGCGGCGUGGGUGGCCAGGGUCGGGGCCAGGGAGGAUGAUAGGUGGUUAUGAGGAUGAUACCUGCAGAUAAUACUUUUAAUCUCAAUUCUUACAGAAGAAUUGCACUAUGAACUACGCUUUCAUUUAUACCACACCGCUCAGCUAUAAAAAAUGGUGCAAAUCGACCAAAAUAAAUGAAUAAAUCACAUGGUUUAGACUGGUGGCAUAUGUAUGUUUGAUGAGUUUUGAAUCCCAACAGACCUCUGUUUGCUUAUCCAACCGGAGGAAAAACCUUUACUUACUAAAUCAGCUUUGCAUGCCAGGCUGCAAUUGUUAGAGCAGAAUUAGGUAAUUUGUGAACAUAAUUGAAUCAAAGUUUUGUCUCUGACAAGUAAUAGAAAAUGGUAAUGCUCCAUAGCAAGAACACGUUCCUACACUAGUUUAAAAAAUUCCCUGAAAUUGGGAACAAUGGUCAAGUCCAAACCAUACUUGCAACUUGGAGGACCGCUGGCCGAUGUAAGUCAAAGUCAAAAACAGAAGGAGACAGCGACGUCUCACCAGAUCACGAAUCAGAUGCGAUGCAUGUGCAUGUUCAGCAAGACAUUGAAAAGCAAGCUCUUCAAUACGCUCCAGCCCAGCUCCACCAUGGCUUUGGCAAUGCGCGUCAUGAGCUUGCUUCCUGCCACCAUCGCCGUGAUGAUCGCAGUGGCCUCUUGGGGAGCGCACGGCGGUGCCAGCGACGAGGCCAGCGCGCUGCUUGCUUUCAAGGCUCAGCUCGCCGGCAGCGGUUCCGGCAUGCUUGCAUCCUGGAAUGGCACCGCUGGCGUCUGCGGCUGGGAGGGCGUGGCGUGCACCGGCGGCCAGGUAGUGGCACUGAGCCUGCCCUCCUAUGGGCUCGCCGGAGCCCUCUCCCCGGCCAUUGGGAACCUCACUUUCCUGCGGACCCUGAACCUGAGUUCCAACUGGUUCCAGGGGGAGGUCCCAGCAAGCAUCGGCCGCCUAGCGAGUCUGCAGACGCUUGAUCUGAGCUACAAUACGUUCUCUGGUACGCUUCCUUCCAACCUCAGUGCCUGUGUCAGCUUACUGCUGUUGAGGCUCAGUAGUAACCGGUUCCAUGGGCGUAUCCCUGUUGAGCUUGGAGACAAGCUAACAAGUCUUCAGAUGUUGUCACUGCGCAACAACAGCUUGACGGGUGCCAUACCAGGAUCACUAGGUAACCUGUCAUCCCUGAUCUACCUUCAUCUGACAGAAAACCACCUCGAGGGUCCGAUCCCACAUGAACUUGGCAGCAUGGGCGGCCUGCAGGUCCUUUUCCUCUAUGAGAACAGACUCUCCGGUGUGCUUCCACACUCCCUGUACAAUCUGUCCUCACUGAAAAGCUUGUGGGUAGGAUACAACAUGCUGUCUGGAACCAUCCCUGCUGAUAUCGGCGAUAGGUUCCCCGGUAUGGAAGCUCUUGACUUUUCUAGCAACCGAUUCAGUGGAGCUAUCCCACCUUCGCUCGCCAACCUCUCUGCUCUCACAAAACUAGUCCUUCAAGGAAAUGAUUUUAUUGGAUAUGUGCCUUCUGCUUUGGGGAAGUUAAGUCUUACUGCCCUUUACUUGGGUGACAACAGGCUAGAAGCAAACGACAGUCAAGGGUGGGAAUUCAUAGCUUCACUGGCAAACAGCUCCCAGCUUCAGCUUCUUGUUCUCGGCAACAACUCUUUCAGCGGGCAACUGCCUAAUUCAGUCACAAACCUGUCAUCAACUCUGCAAGGUCUUUAUUUGGGACCCAAUAUGAUUUCUGGGAAUAUUCCAAUAAACAUCGGAAAUUUGGUUGGUCUUACAGUACUUGAGAUGGCAAAUACUUUUGUAUCUGGACAGAUUCCAGAGAGCAUUGGUCAGCUAAGAAACUUGGUUCAGCUAGCCCUUUACAACACUAGCUUGUCAGGCCUCAUACCUUCAUCACUAGGAAAUCUUACACAGUUGAAUAGCCUUUUAGCAUACUAUGGAAACUUAGAGGGGCCAAUUCCAUCAAACUUGGGGAACUUAAAGAAUGUGUUUUCCUUUGAUCUCUCAACAAAUCGACUCAAUGGUUCAAUUCCUAUAGAGGUUUUAAAACUUCCUCGACUUUCCUGGUACUUAGACUUAUCAUAUAAUUCAUUAUCCGGGCCACUUCCAACUGAGGUUGGUACCAUGGUGAAUCUUAACGAACUGAUUCUGUCUGGAAACAAGUUGUCAGGCACCAUACCAGCUAGUGUUGGGAACUGUAUAUCGUUGGUACGGCUGCUGCUCGAUAACAACUUAUUAGAAGGAAGCAUACCGCAAUCUCUGAAGAACUUAAAAGGUCUUGAAUUACUGAACCUAACAAUGAAUAAGCUAUCUGGUAGUAUUCCUGAUGCCCUUGCUAGCAUUGGCAACCUGCAACAACUGUAUCUUGCACACAACAACUUGUCAGGUUCCAUCCCCAAAGUUCUACAGAAUUUGACAUUGUUGGCAAAACUGGAUUUGUCCUUCAAUGAUCUGCAAGGCGAAGUGCCAAAAGGGGGUCCUUUUGCAAAUGCAACUCGCUUGUCACUUGAUGGAAAUGAUGAGCUUUGUGGCGGAAACCCUCAACUUCAUUUAGCUCCGUGCUCCACAGCUGCUGCGAGGAAGAACAGAAGGCGAAUGUCAAGAUCACUUAUGGUCACCGUUGCGUCAAUCUGCGCAUUUCUAUUCUUAGGUUUAAUAGUUUGUCUUAUCCAUUUGAUCCACAAGAGGCUCAGACAAGGAAAGGAAAAUCAACUCAUUCCCACAGCAAUUGAUGAACAGCACCAAAGGGUUUCAUAUCAAGCAUUAGCAAAUGGGACUGACCAUUUUUCGGAGGUUAAUCUGCUCGGACAAGGAAGCUAUGGUGCAGUUUAUAAGUGCACUUUACAUGACAAGGGAAUUACCGCAGCUGUAAAGGUAUUCAACGUACGGCAAUCUAGGUCUACUAGAAGUUUUGUGGCUGAAUGUGAGGCACUGCGAAGGGUGCGCCACCGAUGUCUCAUAAAGAUCAUCACCUGUUGCUUAAGCAUUGAUCACCAAGGCCAAGAAUUCAAGGCACUGGUUUUUGAGUUCAUGCCCAAUGGUAACCUAAAUGAUUGGCUGCAUCCAGCAUCCAAGAUACAGAGUCUGAGCAAUACGCUCAGCUUAGCUCAGAGACUGAACAUUGCGGUAGAUAUCAUGGAUGCUCUGGAUUAUCUUCACAAUCAGUGUCAACCGC
rnacentral:lncRNA from 1 species